AUGAGUGUAGCGUAGCCCAGUGUCUUGUGGAGAAGAAAGCUGAUUUGUUUCUUAUGUUGGCAGGCGAAGCAGGUGCAGAAGUGCGUGGAGGCACUGGACGUGCUCAAGGUGUCGAACCCGCGGCUGCAGACGGUAGUGGUGACCACCAAAUGGGAGACGUUCGACAACAGCCCCCCGGUCACCACCAAGUGGGAGAUCUUCGACUGAAUUAAGCAGCAGCAGCAGAGAUUUUUCUUUAUACAGAAGAGUGUCUAUUUUCGUGCCGUCAGUUUUGGUGUCUUGUUCCUUGCCCAUUAUUCGUUUUUGUAAUCGCGCUGAGCUGGUUUAGGUUAGUAGGUCGCAGGAGGACCCCGAAUCCCACUGUUUGUAAUCAUCGUCGUCGUCGUCACACCCGCUCGAUUGAUGGAUCUCACUCCAAUAAACAGCAAAGCAGCACUGUUCUUUAGUGUGCUCCCGAAAGUGCAUUGUGUACUGAUGGUGUGGAGAUUUGUGCGGGAAGCAAUGGUUGAUGGGUUUCACUCACAGAUAAGCUAGCAUAUGGGAUUAUGUUACGCUCUUCGGAGCUACUAGCACCGUACUAGUGGCGACGCGUAAACUGUUUGUGAGAACUUUAUGAUCCACGUUCGCUUCAAAAAUUUCACUCUGUUUUUUGAACUCUACGUAAGAACUCUAUGCUCUUUCAAAUGUGUGCAUUUGUAUUUGUGCAAACUCUAUCCUCUUUCAAUGCAUUUGUAUUUGUGCAAACUGCAUGUAGCACACGAAGUGUAUGUGUGUUGUUUGUGUGUAAUCUUCUUGAAUUAUAAUAGCAUGCGAAGUUCAUGUUUCAGAAAUUCAUAAGUUCACGUGGACCACAUCCUGAAGAAAUUCAUCAAUGAAAAAAAGUGACUGCCUAGGCCAUUCCACCGACAGCAAAAAAUGUCGUGAUAAAAAAAUAAAACAGCAUAAAAUAUAACAUAGUAAGUUCAUAGAAAUGGUGGAAAAACAUAAUUUUGUUUUGCAAGUUUAAUCAUUUCUAAAAAAUACCUUGAAGUUCAAAUUUAAAUAAUAGGGCGGUUUCAAUGUUUAUUACAAACCUGUAAUUUUCCCCGUUACUAUAGAAUAAACCAAGAACUUCAAAAACUAAAAGUGGAGCAGUGCGAAAUGUUUAUAAAAAAUGGUGUUUCUACAUUUUACUAAAAAAUUGGAGACGUUCACAUUUAAAAAACAUAGAAGUUCAAAAUAUUUAUAAAAAACCAAGAAGGUCAAACUAAGAAAACCGAGCAGUUUAAAAAGUUUGUAAACAUGGAUCUGCCAGUGUUUUUUUAAUCUAGAAGUUCAACUUUAAAUACUUGAGCAGUUCGAUAUUUAUUACAUAACUAGGACUUUUCCUGUUACUAAUGAAUAACACCAAGAAAUCCAAAAUUAAAAAUAUAUGAAGUUGUUCAAUGUUUAGAAAAAACUCAGAUUUUCCCCAAUGCUAAAGAUUAAAACCAAGAAAAAAAGGAGAGCGGUUCAAUCUCUAUAAAAACUCAGAUAUUUUCAUGUAACCAAAAGAGAAGUUCAGAUUGAUUACUGCGAGAAGGUCACAUACUACACGCCGUGCAUUUGAUAUUAAAAAGAAGAAUGAAAAAGCAAAGGCUGAAAUUUUUGUUGCUAGAAGUUCAAGUGCUCGGCCAGAGAAAAUUCAAAAAUUCGUGUGACAGAGGUUGAAUAAAAAUACGUGACAGAAGUUCAAGGUGAAAACAGUGGGAAGUUCAACUACUACACGGAAUGCGUUUCAGAUAAGAAUAUAAGAAUAGAGACCAAAAUGCUUAAAAGGUUUGUUGAAAGAAGUUCAAGUGCUCUGUCUGGGGAAGUUCAAAAAUUCUUGCGAGAGAGGUUCACCUUGUAUUUCCAUGUUCAAAAACACAAAAAGAAAUUGUGUUCUAAUUCUCUCAAUCCAAAAAGAAGUUUUAGUUAUUAUUUGGGAGUAAUGUGAUUUCUGAAAAAAUCAAAUUAUAAAAAUGGAAAAAGUUCAUGUACUACAUGGUGUGUGUUUAAUAUGAGAAAAAUGAAUUAAAAGGCAAGGUCCAAAUUUUUAAAGAAAACUCAGAUUUUCCUCGUUAUAGAAAACUCAGAUUUUCCUCGUUAUUAAAGAAUGGAAACAAUGAGUUCAAAAAUAAAAUAACAAGAAGUUCAACUUUUAAAAAUAGAGCGCUUCAAAAUUUCAUAAAAAAGAUUAGGAAAUAAAACCAGGAAGUCCAUAUUAAAAAGAUGGAGAAGUUCGAUGAUUAUAGAAAACUCAGAUUAUCCUCCUUAUUAAAGAAUGGAAACAAGAAGUUCAAAAAUAAAAUAAAAAGAAGUUCAACUUUUAAAAAUAGAGCUCUUCAAAGUUUCAUAAAAAAAGGAUUAAGAAAUUCAGAUUAAUAUUCAUAAAGAACUCAGAUAUUUUCACGUAACCGAUAGAAGUUCAAAUUGAUAACUUCCAGAAGUUCACAUACUGCACACCACGGUGUGCAUUUUGUAUUAAAAAGGGAAUAAAAAAGCAAAGAUUAAAAGUUUUGUUGUUAUAAGUUCAAGUCCUCGGUCGGAGAAAGUUAAAAGAAUUAUUGUGAGAGAGGUUUGUACAAAAGGAAUAUCAUUUGUGUAACACUGACGAAGGGAUGAGAAAAUUCAAACGAAAAUACGUCACAGAAGUUCAACGUGAAAACAGCAGGAAGUUCAACUACUACAGUGAAUGAAUUUCAAAUUAAAAACUUUUAAAAUUGCCGCGAGUAUGAAGAAAUGAUCAACACGGGAAAGUUGCGUGUUUACAACAGAUUUCCACCGGUAUAUCAUUUGCUCAAUUCUGGUGAGUAUUUCGGUGAGUGGAUGGAGAGCUGCGGGCAAAAAAACACGUGAAAAACAGAGUGAAGUUCAAGUAGACAUGUCGAGAAGUUCAAGUUUAUUCACGCGGUGCAUUUUCAAAGAAUCUGUUCCGCAAUAAAGGCAGAACGAAUGAUACCGCCGUUUUCAAAAUUACUUGAAAACGGCUAGGAAUGAGAGAAAACCAUCAACAUAAAAAAGUUUCACGUUUUCCGUAGCUUUUCAAUGGUAUAUUAUUUGCCCCAUUCCGAUAAAGUUUGUAAAAAUUAUGGCGAAAAUACAUUUUUUAGCCAUUUUCAAAAUUGACUUAAAACCGUAAGGAACUGGGAGAAACAAUAUAUACCAAAAAGUUUUGCAUUUCCUCAAACUUUCCAACGCCAUAUCAUUUGUAGCAUUCGGACGUACGUUUAAAAAAUUAGCUCGAAAAUAUGAACUCGAUGGAACUUAUAUUGUUUUCUAAAUUACUUUUUAACCGUUCAAAAUUAGAAACAACUUUUAACAUGAAAAAGUAGCGCAUUUUCAUAAGCUUUCCAAUGCCAUAUCAUUAGCCUCAAUUGGAUUAGCUGUUUAGAAAUGACAUCGAAAAUACAAACUCGGCUGUUCGGUUUGCGAAAUUUCACGAUUUUCUAAAUUACUCUUUAUCCAUUGGGAAUUUGAGAAAACUUUCAACAUGUGGAAGGAGCGGUUUUGCAGCGGCUUUCCAACGCCAUAUUAUUUGCCUCAUUCCGAUAAAUGGUUUAGAAAUUCGAUCGAAAAUACGAUUCACGUUUUUUGUAUAAAGGAAAAACGGUUUUCAAAACUGCUCUUAAACCGCUUAUAUUUCGCCAAAAAUUUAACUUGGGUCAUGAUACUGAUGUCCGUAGCUUUCCAACGGUAUAUCGCAAGCCCCAUUUGGGCAAUGUUGGCGGAAAUUCAACCUAGCACAGGGGGGAAGUUUAGGAUGAACAACUCAGGCAGUAAAAUUGCAAAAAACACAAUUUCAUCACGACGAGAGCAAAAUCCGUCAACGAGCGAGAUUCCUAUUUAAAACGGGCAUUUAGUUGCUAAAAACGUUUCUAGAUUACACUAACAUCGUAUAGAACACAAUUAACCAGAAUAAUUCGCGGUAGAAGGCACAGUUGCGAAGAUAGCCCGAAGGUCGGGUUCGUACAAAGGGAAGUUCAGGCGCGUUACUCAGGCAGUUCAGGUUGUGAUCAGAAUAUUAUUCUGAUCCCGUGAUCAAAAUAGUGUUUAUGUAUGUAUAUCCCUAUAUAUAUAUAAAACUUAUUCUUCACCUAGUGUUUAUGUAUAUAUAUAGGGAUGUUAUUCAUCACCUAGGGUUUAUAUAAUUUUAAAAGUUGUGAUCAGAAUAUUAUUCGUACAAAUAGUGUUUAUGUAUAUAUAGGGAUGUUAUUCAUCACCUAGGGUGCAGAAUAAGUUAUUCUUCACCCGAGGUAAUCUUACAAUCACUUCAUAAUUAAAUUACAUUUGGAAUUCAAAUAGUUACAUUCCUAUUGAUUUAGUACGUAAAUUUUGGUAUAAAAAAUAAUAAUAUAGGUCAUAAGACAAGAAAAUUUGGAGUUUAUGUAUAUUUUACACUAUGUUUUUACGUUUGUAAUUUUACAUAACAUAAAAUAUUUUUUUACGGCGAUUAUAUAUUUUAUUACGGUCUCUUUUUACGUCAGAAAUAAGACAAAACUUACGGAACGUAAAAUUACAGUGCAUUGGUGGUAAAAUAGAGGGGGUGAUGAAUAACUAUUUUUCACCCAGGGUAACGAAUAGUCAAUCGAUGCUAUUCAUCACCCAGGGUGCAGAAUAAGUUACUCUUCACCUGAGGUAAUCUUACGAUCACUUCAUAAUUAAAUUACAUUUGGAAUUCAAAUAGUUACAUUUCCUUUGAUUCACUACGUAAAAUUUGGUAUAAGAAACUAAAAAUAUAGGUCAUAAGACAAGAAAAUUUGGAGUUUAUGUAUAUUUUACACUACGUUUUUACGUUUGUAAUUUUACACAACAUAAAAUAUUUUUUACGGCGAUUAUAUAUUUUCUUACGGUCUCUUUUUACGUCAGAAAUAAGACAAAACUUACGGAACGUAAAAUUACAGUGCAUUGGUGGUAAAAUAGAGAGGGGUGAAGAAUAACUAUUCCUCACCCAGGGUGAUGAAUAGUCAAUCCUAUAUAUAUAUAUGGCUUCAAGUGCGUACUUGUUGGUGAAAGUGUUGUCCAAUGGGAAUUAUAUUUUGUAUUACUCAUGUAGCCUACAAAGCCUGUCGCAUAGCCUUGUAACUUCUUGCUCCAUUUCUAAAUUUGUACUAGUCCUCUAUGCCGUAUAUUGCGCCACUCGUACUACUACCUCCCUCCUGGUUUAUUGGUCCCCUUCGUAAUUUGUGUCAAAUUUUGACCAUAAAUUUCACUAACUAAAUGUUAAUGCAUGUCACAAAAAAUCAUAUCGUUUUAUUCGUAUUUGAACAUAGUUUCCAAUGGAAUAAUUUUCGGUGAAAUGCAUUGACAUUUUGCUAGUUAAAUAUACGGUUAAAAUGUGACACUAAAUACGACUAGUAAGUACUUGUACAGUAGCAGUACUAGUAUACGUCGGUCAAAUUAUUCAUCAUGUCAUCACAUUGAAUUGACGUGACAACACGCUGCGCGUGAGGUGACACAAGAAUCCCGGCGACGUGUUCGGGUAUUGUGGACUUUAGAUUUGGAGUACUACCACUUAUUUAUCGAAAUCUUUCAUCAUUCACUUAAAACAGUCGAUUGAUCAUACAUUGAGUACCAUAUAACUGGAAUUAACCGAUGCAACUCCAAGAAGGAUUGGCCGGUGCUGCCAGCUGGCGUCAAGUUCGAUACCACGGAUUAGGAGCUGAUCGAGCACCUUGAGGCCAAAGUGAGUGCUGUCAGCAUGAGAUCUCACCCUCUCAUCGAUUUUUUCAUACCAACCAUCGACAGCGAGCACGGCAUAUGCUACACCCAUCCUGAGAAACUUCCAGGUAAGACACCGAUCGGCCGUCUACUUGCACAAACAUAUUCUUUGUUUAUAGCUCUAUUUUUCUUUUUAGACGCAGACCUAGUGAAGCAAUUACAAUUUGACUGUUAAUAAAAAGUGAAACAAGUGACUGCAACAUGCCAAAGAUGUUAUGAAAAUGCCAACUACGUACACUAAAACCUGUAUUCGACAAUACUACAGGUAUCACACUGAGUGGCCUAUGCAAGCAUUUCUUCCAGUGCAAUUCCAGGGCGUUCAAAAGGGGCACGUGGACGCGUCUCAAGAUACAGUCAGAGUGCGGCAUGCACGCGAUGUGGCACAAGACCGGCAAUACCUUGCCGGUUAUGGUCAAUGGCCGGCAGACGGGCAGCAAAAAGGUUCUGGUGCUGCACACCAACAAGAACUUCGACCAUUCCCGCAAAAAAAAAGAACUUCGACCAGCAGAGGACCAACUGGGUGAUGCACCAGUACCACCUAGGGGACCUGGAGCAAGAGAAGGAGCGGGAGCUGGUCCUCUGCAAGAUUUUCUACCAGACCAACACUAGGGCCAGGACGAAAAAGAUUAUAAGUUAGUUUGGUUUUGGUACUUGUACUACCUUGUCGUCCGCAAGUUGGUAUCGUUGUUAACGAUCUUUCGGUAUGAAUUUGGCAUUUGCUUCCAACCAUCAUGCCGAGGGUCGACGUGGAUAUAAAGCCGAAUCAUUUCUUUCGAAAUGAAUUUUCAGGCACCUGAUUUUUAUUUGAUGGGUAGCAUAAGCACCUCCCAUUCGAAUUCCCAGUUCUCCAAAUUUUUCGAAACAAGUGCAUGCACUUAUUAUCAUGAUGAAAAAACAAUAUACCUGCUGCAUCCCAGUUAUCAGUCUGUACUUGCGGAAUUCUCUCGUUUAUUGAGCAGGUAUAUUGUUUUUUCAGGUCGAGCAAGUUUCAACUGGGCUGUAGACUGCCCAGGCUUGGUUUUGUUUUCAACAGGCCCAGCCCAUGACGACAACGGGGCACAAAGAUCCAACAGCAGGUAUCUACUGGCCUCUGGCCCCCAGCAUUAGUUAUAUUUUGUCUUACAACAUCCGCAUGCAGUUUUUUACUGAAUCAAACACACAACCCAGUUCUGUUUUCCUCUUGAAACGCCAUGUCCUACUUCCGUUUUCUAAUAUCUACCUAUAGGUUUACUAGUUCAUAUACACAUAUCAUUGUAUUUAAAAUACAUAAUGUUCCCUUUACAUAUUUACAUCCUUAUUUUUGUUGUUGUUUUCCCUCCCAGCGCUGAUUUUUUUACCACUGGUUUUCCCUUAAACCAACUCAAUUGUCCCACGUCUUGUUUGCUUACAAAAACAAAACGAUUUUUUUGGCAAAUCAAUAAGUUCUUAAAAAAUGUUUAUCAUUUCAGGAUUACAACAGUUUCGACUCCACCGAAAUAUGCAAAAUAAGGUUGAACUUUUUGACCGUUGUCCUGGGCAGAAAAUGGGUUGUAAUAAAUUACUUAAGAAUUAGCAAAUGGGCUGCAAAUUAUUAAAAAAAUAGCAAAUGGGCUCUAUGUUGUCUGCCACUGAUUUGGAGGCUGACUUGUGGGCCUACUAAGUUCAUGCGUACACAAGGUCUCUUAAAAAAAGAAACUUAGUCAACAAUCGACUCUACUAGUGUCAUACCGUUAGAUGUCAAUCUAACGGCAACUGUGCUUCUUCAGUCUCUGAUCUUCCGGCUCCAGCCGCCCAAACCAGCGUCGGCGGAACCGCUUGCUCCUGCCUCCCGUGGCCGGCUGUGCUGCCGGGCAGGCCUCACGGCCCCACCAUACUCGCAUCUCUGGCCUGGCUAUCCCUCUACUCACCCACACCUCCUGUUAUUUUCCGGCGACGGCAGCCGAACCAGUCAACCCUCGUACUCCCCACCGCAUGGGCACCCAGUACCGUAUCUUCCCCGGCUCCAUGUCGUUCCCUCGUAGGCCUCGCCGUCGUCCACCGCCCUGGUGCUCUCGACGCGGCGUGGCAACGUGGUCAACGAACAACAUCCAUUGGAAGUGGACUAUGCGUGGAGAGGCUGACAGUUGGGUCCAUGGCCGCACACAAGGACAUGCCUCCUUAUUACACGCAAAAUAAUGAUUCCUCCACCUAACAUCUGGGACCAACCGAGAGGGCCUCUGUAUUUCGUGAAAAAAACGUUCCCGCCGCUGACAGCUCGGACCCACCAGCUAUAUCUUCGCACGCAAGGAAGUGCUUCCUUAUUACGCACAAAAAAAGAAUACUCCCCCUGCUAGCUGGGACCCACCAUAUGGGAAGCUGACUUGUGGGCCUACUAAGUUGACGUAGACGGAUGGGUUUGUCAACUUAGUCAAUAUGAACGAUUCUAACACAAGUGACUGUUGGAUUGUUAACAUCCAACGGUCGUCCCGCUUCUUCAACCUCUGAUUUUCUUGCUCCAGCCAUCCAAACCACCGCGUGCUAUUGUCUCCCGUGGCCGGCUGUGCUGCCGAGGAGGCCUCACCGCCCCUACUACUCCCACGGCUGGCCAGGCCCUGCAGCGACGACAGCCUCACACCGAAGCCGAACUAGUGAACCCUCGUACUCCUCUCCGUGUGGGCAUCCAGUGCCGCGUCUUCUCCGGCUCCGCGGUAUCCCCUUCCUAGGCCUCACCGUCAUCCACUGCCUUGGUGCUCUAGGCUCGGCGUGGUAAACGUGGUCAAGAAUGACUUCCAUCGGAAGAGUAUUGUACGUGGAGAGGCUCACAGCUGGGUCCACGACAGCAGCAAGGAAGUCCUCCUUAUUACGCGCAAAAUAAUUAUUCCUCCACCUGACAGCAGCGACCCACCGGACGGGCCACCGUAUUUCGUGAAAAAAAGUUCCCCCCUGAUUGCUGGGACCCACCAGCUACAUCUUCGCACGAAAGGAAGUGCUUGACAGCCAGGACCCACCUGGUCGAAGCGCACGUAGCGUUGUCAUUCUGGUCGCGAAUGUGUACGUAUAUACGAUCGGUCUGUCUGCAGGCUGCAGCGAUGAACCAUGGCCGUGUAAGGAAGGGCACGUGUUGUAGUAUAGGCGUGCACGUGCCGUAGUAGAGGCGCGCAUGUAGCAUGUACACGUACGUACAGGCAGGGUGCAAGAAAGAAAAUACGGCGACACACGUACAUACGAGCGGGGUCUCGAACGCCUACUCACGCAUAUGUACGGCCAGGGCCCGUGUACAUGGCUGGGUCGGAACAGAGAAACUGCGUCGUCGUCGUGUUCAUGGGGAGGCAACGGAACACGCCGUGUUCAUCGGGAGGCAAUGGAACGCGUGCUGUUCAUCGUGAGCCAACCGGCUUGGACGGAACAGCUGAUGGAAACGAGGCCUGGCGUACCGCAAAACAGAGGAAACGGCCUUGUUCGACCGGCCACGGUCGAAACGGGAUCCUGUUCAUCGGGAGGGGUCUGGCGUACCACAAAAUGGAGGAAACAGACUUCUCUUGGUCGAAACGGGGUCCUGUUGAUCGGGAGGGGUGUGGCGUACCGCAAAACGGAGGAAACGGACUUGUGUUGGAGCGCUACAGUCGAAACGGGGGUCCUGUUCAUUGUGACGGGUGUGGCGUACCGCAAAACGGGACUCCACGGGAUACUGUUCAUCUCCACCGGCGACUGCCUCCACGGGCUACUGUUCAUCCACCGUCGACCUCCUCGAGCCUCCACCUGCGACUGUUCAUCCACGGAUUCCUGUUCAUCCAGCCUCCACCGCGCGCUCCUCCAUCGGCUACUGUUCAACCAGCCCUCUCCACGGGGUCCUGUUCAACCACCCCUCCACGGGCUACUGUUCAUCCAGCCCUCCACUGGCUACUGUUCAACCAGCCCUCCACGGGGCCGUCCUGUUCAUCCAGCCCUCCACGGGGUCCUAUUCAUCCAGCCCCCAACCGGCACGAUCGAUCGUGGUCCUGUUCAUCCAGCGGCAACACCACGAGUCCUGUUCAUCCAACCCCCCAUCAGGAACUGUUCAUCCAAAACCCCAACAACGCUCACUUUUCAUCAAGAUGAAGCAUUGAUCGACUUCAGUUAGUAGCAGUAGCGAAGGAAUCACUCGGGUUCAGUUAACAGCAAGGGAUCGAUCGCUUGGGUUCAGUAAUGUAGGUAGUGUAAUCGCUCUGGUUCAGUUAGAGCCCGACGCCUCGCUCGGGUUCAGUUAGAGCACAACGCCUCGCACAUGCACGUACGUGUACGAGAGAAACGCGCAUCGCUCGACCCCCGACCACCCACCGUAACCGGGAAUUCCCCGAUAUUUUCCUUGCCCUCGCUUCUACCACGGUUUUUUUUCCGUCAUGGACGGUCCAAAGAAUGACAUGCAGCUGCGUCUCCAGCCCGCCCAGGACGAAAAUCCCAUUUUCUGUCAUGAUUUUUGUCAUAGAAGUAGGAGCCCACCACAUUUGUGAUGAUACCGGGUUUUUUCACAAUUAUUGUCAUAGAAGUGUCAUAAGCAUGACAUAAUUUUUUUUCGUUCGGCCCAAAAUGUCACGGAUGUGUCUUUUUUUUGUAGUGGGGGCCUUCGUGGAGACUGUCAAGACGUGGCAGCGGGAGUGGUUCUACAUCACCGAACCUCGCGGCACCAAGUGGGCGGCCGCUCCUGCUUUCAGAUCUGGACCCCUGCUCCGGCUUGCAUCGUGGACCAACACGGGUCUGGACUGGGGAUCAUCCAACGAGGUGUUGAGGUUGCAAAAGCGCAUCAAAAGUAUCAUAGAGAAGGACAUCAGCCUCACUGACGUGGUCCAGGUGAUGCUCAUCCGCCGAACCCUUCCCUGCCAAUGCCGGCCUCUCCGCAUGUGUGAGUUCAAUCCGGAAGGGCUGCGGACCCUGCAGCUAUUCUUCGGCAUGAUGCACGAAGUGGCAGUUUUUAAUUUCUUCAAGUUGAGGUGGAGUUUUAGCACAUGUCCAAACACUCACAAUACAUAUCAAGCAAACAUGACAAGAGUAUAUGGGCAGCGGAAAGUAAAGCAUGCAAUUUUGCAAGAAUGUAAAGGGAUGGGAUUGGAGUGUGCAAAUGCAAUUGGAGACGCGGAGAUUUUUGGCGUGGUUCCGAUAGGUGGUGCUAUCGUACAUCCACGUUGAUGGAGACUUCAGACCACAAAGGGUAACGGUUGCGCGAGUCCACGGAGGGCUCCACCCACGAAGGGUCCACGAAGAAGCAACCUUGUCUAUCCCACCAUGGCCAUCGCCCACGAAGGGCUUGCCUCACUAGGGUAGAUCUUCACGUAGUAGGCGAUCUCCUUGCCCGUACAAACUCCUUGGAUCAACUCCACAAUCUUGACGGAGGCUCCCAAGUGACAUCUAACCAAUCUAGGAGACACCACUCUCCAAAAGGUAUUAGACCGUGUGUUGAUGAUGAACUCCUUGCUCUUGUGCUUCAAAUGAUAGUCUCCCCAACACUCAACUCUCUUUCAUAGGAUUGGAUUAGGUGGAAAUGUGAUUUGAGAGGAAAGCAACUUGGAGAAGGCUAGAGAUCAAGAUUUAUGUGGUUGGAAUGGAAUAUCUUGACCUCAACACAAGUGUAGGUGGUUCUCUCUCAGAAAAUGUAUGUUGGAAGUGUAGGCAUGUUCUGAUGGCUCUCUCCACGAAUGAAGAGCGAGUGGAGGGGUAUAAAUAGCCUCCAUACAAAAUCUAACCAUUACACACAAUUUACCAAACUCGGUUGGACCGAAUCAGAAAACCCGGUCAGACCGAUUUAGUUCAUAAUGUGACCGUUAGGCAUUUCGGUGGGACCGAUACGAUCAACUCGGUAGGAUCGAUGUGCCAGGAUUAGGGUAAAGCCUCAUCUCGGUUUGACCGAUGACACAAACUCGGUGGGACUGCUUUGUGUAAUAAGUGAAACAAAGAGUUGGCCAAGCAAACUCGGUGAGACCGAUUGCAUAUCUCGGUGAGACCGAAAUUAUUGCAGUAGGCAACAGAGAGUUUGCAAGCCCAUCUCGGUGAGACCGAGAUCCCAUCGGUGAGACCUAAUUGAUUAGGGUUUCUGGCAGUGGCUAUGUCAACUGAACUCAGUGGUGCCAGAUAGAAAGAUUCGGUAGGGCCGAGUUUGACUUUUGGUUUGGGACAUAUGUGGAAGUGAGAAAGUGGUUGAGGGUUUUGGAGCAUAUCACUAAGCAUUUUGAGCAAGCAAGCCAUUAAGCAACACCUCAUCCCCUUUUAAUAGUAUUGGCUUUCCUAUGGACUCAAUGUGAUCUUGGAUCACUAAAAUAGAAAAUGUAGAGUCCUGAGCUUUGAGCUUGACCCGAUUCUUUGUCCUUAUCAUCUUGAAGGGGUUCCACAUCCUCUAGUCCUUGCCACUCCAUUUGUUGAACUUGUCUUAAAUAUACUAGAUGAAAAAAUUAGUCCAACAAGGGAUAUGUUGACAUUAAUUACCAAAAUCACCCAGGGAGCACUUGUGCUUUCAAUCUCCCCCUUUUUGGUAAUUGAUGACAACAUACAUCAAAGCUUUAGAUAAAGAUAAAGAGAAUAACAAGUAAAGCUUUGGAAAGACAUGUAACAUGCAUAGGCUCCCCCUACAUGUAUGCAAUCAUGUCAAUAUAGAAUGUGAAUGCAUAAUCAUGACAGAGCAGGCAAUGUGUUACAUGUAUCUUGGUUAUAUGCAUCAGAGCAAAUGAUAUGAAGUGUAAUUUCAUGUUCAUAAUUCUUCUUGCAAACAAUAUGUACAUUAGCAAGAAAUCCUCAUGCACAUGAGGGUGAUGCAUAUACUUACCUUGUGGUCUUGAGCUGGCUUAGGAAGAGAUGAACCUGAGUAAACAAGGUUAGAUAACACAGAAACAUCUACUAAACUGAGCAAAUACACGAAACCACAAGAGUACCAAGACCGGGAUGACAUGUAAAGAGUGAUAUAGAUAUGUUCCCAAAGAUAAAAGAUAUGCAAUGAAUUCAAAGACUUCCUUCCCUAGCAGUCUUUCUCCCCUUGAAUCUUAUAUGGAUAAUGGGAGAAAAUAGGGAAACAACAUCAGAGCAAAACUGAUCAUAACAUAAUCAUGUCUUUCCCCUCUUAAAGAUAUGUGACUUCUCUCCUCUUGAACACCGAGCAUCUGGGGCAUUUGAUGAGAUUUCCUCUCUCCCCUUGUUUGAAGUAUUCUCUCCCCUUUUGAAGGAUUUAAGCUUUGAUGUGAUCUCUCUCCCCCCCUUUGACAUCAAUUUCCAAGAAGGGAUCUUCUGGAGUGUGAGUCAAAAUAGGUUUGGUCCUUGAGUCACAGAGCAAAGCAGCAUGUAAAAUGUGAUGCUGGUAGAGUACAAAAAUCAUUGAGUGGAGCUGGAACAAAAAACAGGAACAAGUGGCAAAUUGUUUUCUUUGCAGUGAAAUCGGUGACACCGAGUUGUAGUCUACGGUGGUACCGAAUUGGUUCGGUUUUAACCGAAAACAACAGACCGGUGUGACCGAGUUCAACACAGAGAGAACACUCGUCACCUCAGCUCACUAGGCAAAUAAGAUCUCACAAGGAUUUAAAAGGAAUUAACUAAAGGAUUUGCAAUGAAUUGGAUGCAGAAAAUGCAGAACAAAAUAGAUAAAAGAAAAACUAGAUGAGGUGUUUUUUUUUGAUAAAAGAAGGGGAAUAAAUAUGCAAAGGACAAAUGCAAAAACUCAGAGAAACACUAGAGAACUUCAUCUAGAAUUGGGCGGUGACAAAGUCACCUAUGUUAGAGUAUAUUCACUAAGGAGUCAAGUGAGAGCACUUGAUCAUAAGUCAUACUCAUCGUUUAAGCUCAGAAUGGGGUUACCAUUUUUUGUUUAAGCAUUUGAUGUAUUCACAUCUUGUUGAGCUGCUUUGACCCAUAUCUUAAGGUAAAGCUUCUCUAAGAUGGAAUAACAUACCUUGGGUGGUGGUGUUGAUCUUGAUCACGUAGUUGGACUUGUGUGGAGUGCUCGAGGUUGAUGUAGCACAUCAAUGAUUGGGAGCACCACUUGGAGUUGAGUUCAUCAACCUACAUGGGAUAGUUUUACAAGGAAGAGCACUUGUGUAUCCAAAAUGACAAUCAUGAAAUUUGAUACCAAAUGAAAUUCGAUAUAUCGAAUUUGUCAAAGGAUAUGUUGAAGAGUUUCAUGCUUCCUUGUCUUCAACCACCAUGUUGUAGAGACUUGGUGAUGUAGAGAUUGCUCAAGAUGUGAGUGAGUUGCAAUCUCAUAGAUUUAGAUUCAUCCAAGUACCUACAAGGGUUAAAUAGCAUGCAAGGGUGCAAGUAUAUCCAAGACAUAUGAAUAGUAUCAUGAAAGAAAUAUCAAGGAUUAGUCAAAGGCUCUUGCCUUGCAUGUAUGGAAAUGGAGUUCCUACUCCAAGUUUGUAGCAUCAAUGAUGUUCAAUUCACCUCUCAAACGGAAAAAGACUUUCUCAUCAAGCGGUUUGGUGAAUAUACCCGCCAAUUGCUUAUCGGUACGAACAUGCUUAAGAUCAAUGUCCCCUUUAGCAACAUGAUCUUGAAUGAAAUGAUGACGAACUUCAAUAUGCUUUGUUCGAGAAUGUUGCAUGGGAUUGUGAGCAAUCUUAAUAGCACUUUCAUUGUCACAAAGCAAUGGCACAUGUUUCACAUAUAUCCCAUAAUCGUUAAGAGUUUGGGUCAUCGAAAGUAAUUGAGCACAACAUGAUCCAGCGACAAUGUAUUCCGCUUUGGCGGUAGAUAAGGAAACCGAGUUUUGUUUCUUGGAGGACCAGACACAAGAGAUCUACCACGAAAUUAACAAGUACCCGAAGUGGACUUUCUAUCAACCUUGUCUCUGGCAUAGUCCGAAUCGGAGUAGCCAACAAGAUCAAAAGAGGACCUCUUAGGAUACCAAAUGCCAAAAUUUGGUGUAUGUAUUAAGUAUCUCACUAUCCUUUUCACAGCCUUAAGAUGACAUUCUUUAGGGGCCACUUGAUAUCGUGCACACAUGCACACACUUAGCAUAAUAUCGGGACGGGAUGCACAUAGAUAUAGUAAUGAACCAAUCAUAGAGCGGUAAACCAAUUGAUCAACCGGUUCACCGUCCUUAGUCAAAUCAAGAUGUCCACUAGUAGGCAUGGGUGUUUUCAUACCUUUGCAUUCUUGCAUAUUGAACUUCUUGAAUAAGUCCUUGGUGUACUUUGUUUGAGAGACAAAGGUACCUUCCUUAGUUUGCUUGAUUUGCAAACCAAGAAAGAAUUUGAGUUCACUCAUCAUAGACAUCUCAAACUUCUUUGACAUUAGCUUCCGAAACUUUUCACUAAAAUGAGGGUUAGUCGAACCAAAUAUGAUAUCAUCAACAUAAAUUUGGCACACAAAUAAUUCACCAUUAACCCUGUUAGUAAAAAGAGUAGAAUCUAUUUUUCCAAUCUCAAAGCCUUUUUCAAUAAGGAACUUGGUCAAGCAUUUAUACCACGCUCUAGGAGCUUGUUUAAGACCAUAAAGAGCUUUGUGAAGUUUGUAAACAUGAUCGGGUUUCUUAGGAUUGACAAAGCCGGGAGGUUGCUUAACAUAAAAUUCCUCCUCAAUUUCACCAUUUAGAAAAGCACUUUUAAUGUCCAUUUGGUACAAGGUGAUAUCAUGGUGAUUAGCACAGGCAAGUAAGAUGCGGAUGGACUCAAGUCUAGCAACGGGGGCAUAUGUCUCACCGUAGUCCAUACCUCCGACUUGAGUGUAGCCUUGGGAGACGAGACGUGCUUUGUUGCGGACGACUUGACCAUCUUCGUCUUGCUUGUUGCGAAACACCCAUUUUGUACCAAUGAUGUUGUGGUUGUUGUCGGGCUUCUCGACCAAUGUCCACACUUGAUUUCUCUCAAAGUUGUGUAGCUCUUCGUGCAUGGCAUUUAUCCAAUCCGGAUCUUCCAAUGCUUCUUCAACCUUCAUAGGUUCAAUGCUAGAGAUGAAUGAAUAGUGUUCACAAAAAUUAGCCAAAUGAGAUUUAGAGCGAGUGAUUCUCCCGGUUUGGAUACCAUUGUAGAUUUGCUCGACGGGAUGGUCUCUGGUGACUCUUGCUCGAACUCGUGAGAGCUUUUGCUUGGUUCGGGGUGGAACAUCUUCUUCAUGCUCUUGUUCUUCUUCUUAGCCUUAAUUAAUAGAAUUCUUUUUUUCUUCAAAUCCAAAAAAUUUCUCUUUUUUUGUUGACGUUGUCGUUCUCUUGUCGUGGUGGAGAAGGAGGUUGAUAAGGUUCUUCUUAGUGUACUUCCUCGUUUUCUUCAUCUUGGUGUGUCCCACUUGUGGAUGCUUCCGUAUCGCCUCUUGGUUCACCUUGUCGUGAGGUAGAAGCUUCCACUUGGACGGAUGAGGUACUCUCCUUCACCUCUGUUGGACGAAUCUUGGCAAUAAAAAGUCUUGGAUUGCUUUCGAAGAAUCUUUAUCUCCUACAUCAAUUGGCAAUUGCUCUACUUGCAAGCCGUUAGAUUCAUCAAACUUCACAUCUACCGUCUCUUCAACUUUUCGGGUGAAAUUGUUGUAGACACGGUAAGUGUGAGAGUUUGAGCCAUAACCAAGUAGGAAACCUUCAUGAGAUUUAGGAGCAAAUUUAGAACAACGAUGCUUAUCGAGAAUGUAGCACUUUGAGCCGAACACUCGAAAGUAUCCAACUUGGGGUUUGUUACCGGUGAGAAGCUCGUAUGCCGUCUUGCCGAGUAGCUUGUGAAGAUACAAGCGAUUUGUUGCAUGACAAGCUGUCUCAACCGCUCCGGCCCAAAAGUGUUUUGGAGUCUUAUACUCAUCAAGCAUCGUUCUUGCCAUCUCAAUAAGAGUCCUCUCAACAACUCCAUUUUGUUGAGGCGUGUACGUAGCCGAGAACUGAUGUGAAAUCCCUUCUUCGUCAAGAAAGGUAUCCACAUUUGCGUUCUUGAACUCCGUUCCGUUGUCGCUGUGAACCUUCUUGAUCUUCACUUCAAAUUGAUUUUGGGCCUUCCUAGCAAAGUUCUUGAAGAUCUUUUGGACCUGCGAUUUAUCAUCAAUAAAGAAUACCCACGUAAAUCUUGAAAAAUCAACAACUAUAACUAGACCAAAUGAGUUUCCACCGAGACUUUUGUAGGUGUUUGGACCAAAGAGAUCCAUAUGAAGUAGCUCGAGUGGUCUUCUCGUGGUCAUGAUGUUCUUCACGGUGUGACUCCCUCCAACUUGUUUUCCUGCUUGACAAGCACUACAAAGUCUAUCCUUGUCAAAUAUAACAUCUUUCACUCUAAGGAUAUGAUCACCUUUAGUAAGCUUGUCAAGAUUUUGCAUGCCCACAUGACCUAACCUUCUAUGCCACAACCAGCCUUUAGAGCAUUUAGCAACUAAAAAAGUUCUAGGUUGAGCCUUUUUAGUUAAAUCAACAAUAUAUAGAUCACCUCUACGUAUACCGGUAAAGACCAUUUUAUGAUUAUCUCUACGAAACACUUGGCAAUCUACUUUAGUAAAUAGGACAUUGAAACCAAAGUCAGCAAGUCUAGAUACGGAAAGUAAAUUGUAGCCAAGAGAUUCAACGAGCAUAACAUUUUGUAUGGAGCUAUCAUGUGAGAUGGCCACCUUACCAAGGGUAAACACCUUACCCUUUGAGUUAUCACCAAAGGUGACAUACUUUCGAGGGCCGUCGUUUUUAGCAAGCUCACGAAACAUAUCCUUGUCUCCGGUCAUAUGAUCGGCACAUCCACUAUCAAGGACCCAUUCCUUUCCUCCGGCCAUGUAGCCACGAAGAUUAGCCAUAAGACCAAAGUGUCUCAUCACAUCAUUAAAAUCAUAGUCAGUAUCAUCAUCCUUCAUAGUAUCCAUGUUCAACAUCGUCAUGUGAUGGAUCAAUUCCUAGAGAGAGUGAUUCAUUAGAAGUAUGACCGUAACAAUGUUCAUCAUUAUGAAUUCUAAUGACUUCGGAAAUGAUAUUGCUAAUAAUUCCAACAUCUCCUUUGGCGCGCAUGAGAUAACGAAGCUCAAAAAGGCAAUCAUCAAACUUAGGAUCACUAAUACUCAUCCUAUUCAAGGCAAUAGACUUAUGGAGAAUCUCAUCUAGAUUUUUCAAGGAAUAAUUUGGGAAUCGUUCCUCUAGAAAUCUCCGUAUGGUGUAAGCACAAUCUAGAGUAGGUAAGCUAGCAAUCAAAUUUUUGGGCAAUCCUCUAACAAUACGAUUGAUAGUUCUAAGAUUAAGAAUCAUGUCAAGAUCCUCAUCGGGUGUGGGAUGCAAAGGAUCAACAAGGGAAGCACAAGGAGUUGUAAUGUUCUUGUGUCGGCGUUCUGGGAACGGGGGUCCCCAAACUUGCCUGCCUGCGGCCCACGGCGUGGCUCUGCGAGCGGGCCCAUACGACCCAUCUUCACCAACAAGGAUUCCAGACCCUCCCGAGGGGCCAAGCCUCGCGAGGCGGACGACACAAGACCUCCUCGGGAGCGGCCUCACCAGGCUGCCUCGUGAGGGGCGGAGAUCAAGGCAAGGCAAAUCUCACGAGGUUCUCAUGACGUGAGCCAUGACGAUCGAGACCAGGCGGGCGCCAGGCGGGCGCCAGGCGGGCGCCAGCGCGUGCAGUGUCCUUGUUUCCUCUUUGGUGCUAAGGAGGCAAGCGCAGGCGAGGAGUACUGAGGCGUCAAGCAAAGGUUUCCAUAUCGGUGCAACGAGACCAAGACCAGCUGGACGGCAAGACAGAGGUCACCAUGGAGACCAAGGCGGCGUCACCACCAGAGCCUUUGGCAGGCGAAGACUGCUUUUGUCAGGAUAACUUGUACUAGCUGUCCCCUUUCAAAUUGGCCGUUGUGGCAUCCCUUCCCGCUCAAUAUUUGGGGAGAGGACCAGGGCCGCUAUAAAUAGGAUUAGCCACCACAGUAGGAGGCAACGGAGCCUCGGCCAUCUCAUCUUGGACUAGAUCCAACCUAUCCUCACACCCACCAAGCAGAAGAACACCUCAUCCCAGGAGGCUGUUCUUCCCCUUGUACUGUUCAUCCUCGGCCCAAGAGGCAAUCCACCACACCACAUUGGAGUAGGGUAUUACACCACAACGGUGGCCCGAACCAGUAUAAAUCUAGUGUCUCUUGUCUUGCGAGUUCAUCGAGCUAAGCUUAGAGAUCCCGGUGAGGAUGAGGGCAUGAUUCGGUAGGGGGAGAUCUUCGUGCGCACCCCAGUGUUCGAACCUUGAGGGUUGUGCCGGAACCCGAGAUCCGACAUUUGGUGCGCCCGGUAGGGUUGCGCUGGAGCUCUUCUUCCGCCAGUUGAUCCGCUUGUUGAUCCCCCGACACUCCGCGGCUCCGAUGUCUGGCGACUCAAGGACGAACGCCGACCGCUGGGCAGCCUGGCCAGCCUGGGCGGCGCCGCCCGCCCAAGAAGACCUCAACCCCGCGCCCCAGGCAGCACGCGCACCACCAAACACUGCGGGGCGUGGGUGACGCGGUCACCCGCCGUCCACCCUUACCCCACGACAAUUGCGGGCAGCCGCAAGGGCCUCAAGCCAUGCCGCGGCCACGGCGCCGCACACCCGACGGGAGCAAGCAAACAUGAGGGCCGCUCUCACAGUGGCUCGGGACCUGCUGCGAUGCCGGUUAAUGGAGAGCGGCCGAGAUGCAUUGCUAGAGCGCGUCGCCGAGCUCUUGGACGCCGCGGCCUCGAGAGCACCACCCUUCUGCUCUCUGCUCACACCUCAAGCUGCGGCCGGGUCGCAUGGCGGGCCUCACCACGCCCGCGUGCCCACGGGCGCGCCACCGGGCUUCAUCGAGACCGGCGCAACCAACGGAGCUGGACGCCCGCUCGCACCCGCGCCACCUCCGGUGGGCACGGGCACGAGCGCUGCCACCUAUGGCCUCGGCGGGAUGCAACCCUACCAUCCUCAAGGCGGCAUGCUAGGCCGGGCAACAUGGAGCGUGGGGCACUACGGCGAGGUCUUCGAGGUGGCAGCCUCGGAGGCAUACGUGCCCCGCAUGGUGGACUAGGAGUACAUGCUGGAAGACGACCCAAGCUCGUUCCUUGAGCCGGGUUGGGAGGAGGAGGAGGCGCUAGAAGUCGGCACCUUCCAGGAGCCCUCCGGAAGCCUCACCAACCACGCCGGCGACAACAGCUACAGGGUACCGCUAAUUCCUCAGGAGCAGGCUUACGCUAACAAUGGGACGCAGGAGGAUCAGGUCGCAGCCGUGGAUGGCGGCCCCAGCUCGUCGGCCUCCCUGCCGCCAGGGGGGCAUGUUGGGGGCUGCAGGAGAGGGGCUGAGAGGAAGGCCCCUCCCUGCGCCGCACGGAGCAAGGCGUCCCCCGGAGGUAGGCCCUCUGCCGGGGAGGUGCUCCAGAGCCUUCCCCCGGCAAAGGACCCGUGGUUGCCGAGGGCGCCGCUGGCGUCCCCUUUGCCCCUUGGUGUCGUCCUGGUUUCCGGUCGCCCCCAACGGUGGUCGAGGGAGGCGCAAGGCGGGGCCCUCGUCUGGCGAUAUGAAGUAAGGCUCACGCCUGUGAAGGUCUUCGCUCGUGACACUCUCACGUAAUAAUGAGUGGGGCUGUACACGCCCCGGAGUCUUAGGAGUGCCGCCCUCGGGCCUCGGGGGCUCCCUCCCACGUCCUAGUGGCAGCACUUAGCUCCGCGCUGGUGAGAAGACAAGAAGACUAGACUAGGCGCCGGACGCGGCCAUUUUCUUUGGAUCUCUUUUCUGUAACCCUGCCUUCUGGAUUUGGAUUUAAGUUGAAGUUGAAUUUUCUCGUUCGAGCGAUUUCUUGCUAUAUGGUUCUUGCCUUAAUUCGGAGUUUGCGCCUGUUGCUUCCCCCUCACGGGCAGGGCUAGGCAUGGCGCACGCGCGCCACGGCUAGCGCUUACAUAUCACGCGGCCUCCUCGGGCGUGUCGACAGGCUCCUCAGGAGCUUCCCAGAAACUCGCAACCUCACGAGCCGGUUCAGGGCUCGUCCAGGCCAAGGUAAACCGCAACAGCAAACUUUCCCCAGGAUACAUGAGUUCAUGAAGACACAUAUUCAACUCGUCCUAAAAAGAUAGAGGCAGUAGUAUAUUUACAUGAGGGGCUUCCCCUCCAAAAAUGCUCUUACAACCUCUAGGGCCGCGCCCGAGCUUCUGCGUGCAGGACAAAUAGCUGGGAAACGCGGGAUCAGUCGGCCAUGUCGCUCGCCGCAUCCCCCGGAUCACCCUCAGACGCGUCGCCGGCAUCGCUGCCACCAUCGCUAGCAUCACCAUCACCUCCAACGACGCCGCCAUCGCCAUUGUCGACCACGUCGCCUUCAUCCGCCGCGACCACCACCGCGUCAUCCUCGGAAGCGAAAGCCCUGACCAGCGCGUCCACAUUGUCCUCCACCCACUGCGCCAGGUCGCCCCGGAUGGCCUCGGAAACCGGAGCAAUGGUGGCGUCAAAGUCAAAGUCCUGGUACGUAUUCUAGAGAUGGCUGAAGACACGGGAGAAUGCGCGCCCCAGCAGGCCACGACUCCUCUCUUCAACAAGGAGGCGAGCUCUCUCGGAGCGAUUCUCCAAAUGCGUCACUACGUCGGUGAAGAAGCGGAGGUGACUAGCGUAGUCGUCCACGCGGGGAUGAGGGGCAUUCUCAUCGCAGAUGUGGCCCAGGGCAAUAUUGGCCCUGUUCCUGAGGCCCUAGAGCAUGGUGGCGUGCACGCGCUCCAGCAUCCGCCGCUGAAGCACUUCCUCCCUGUUCUGCCGCGCGACGGACUCGGCAUCAGCAACCCGCUGCUGAAGAGGGAGCAGCUCGGCGUGGGCGGAGGCCAGUUUGGCCUGCGCCGAGACCAGGGCGGCUGCGGCGGCCUCCUCGCGCCGCUCUGCCUCGAUUAACCUAGACUUGAGGGCAGCAGUCCUACCUGCAGCCGCAGCUUCCAUGAACUCCAACUUCAGGUCGUACCUGCCCUCAAGAUCCGCGCGAGCCUCGGCCACCCGGCGAUCGACCUCCUCUUGGACCAUGGCCUCGCGCACACCAACGACAUCUUCCGCUUGGGCAACUUGGCGCUCCCUCAUCUCCAGUCGCUCGAGCUCAAGGCUACGCUCCACGGCUUCCAGCACCAACGCCUCCUCACGCUUCCGGAUCUCUUCCUCUUUGGCGGGCGUCCCCCUCAACGACGCAAGGGUGGCUCUACGCGCCUCCACUUGCUGCUCCAAGGAGGCGCUCCAGGCUUGGAGCUCCCACGCGCCCUUCUCUGUGGCCUCGCGACGGCGGUCAGCUUCCCGGGCCUCUUCCUGAGGUCAGGAGCAGGCCUCACGCGAGGCUGUGAGAGAAACCUCGGCCUUCGCAUUAUCAAGCUCGCGCUGGUGGCGCCCGAGGUUGAUAGCCACCUUCAUCUUAUGCCGCUCCUCCACUAGCCAAAAACCCUCGGCCACAAGGCGCGCGUCCACAUCCACGAGCUCUUCACCAAGCCGGUUCAUCGCGCCCAUCGCCUCCUGAACGAGCUCGUGGCGGACGACGCUCCUUUCUUGCACCGACUUGAGCAUGCUGCUGACUCCGUCCUCUACCGCAGGGGCCGCAGAGGGGGCCCGAAGCGGCUCGCCCCCUUUCAGCAGGGGGCUGGGGGCUGACACCCACCCGGUUGCCGGCUAGGCCUCACGAGGGGCCCGAGCGGGUGGAGGCCCGCUCCUUGAAGAGGAGCCCAAGGCCGAAGCCACCCAGCCGCCGUCCACGACCAGGGGAGGAACCCUUGGCAUGCUUUGCUCUAUUCCAAACAAGGCCGCGAAGGGGAGACGGCGAGGGCGCGAGCUCAAGACGCCUUGUUAACGAGCUGGCUUCUCCGGUUGACUCCGCACCAUGAGCAGCGCGCGGGCUUGCAGUGCUCAAGUCUAGUGGGAGAAACGAGGCGAGAGGAGGUUGCUUCUCAGGAGAUUCCGCGGCCUUGGCGGAAGGGAUCCUGAAGAGCCAUCGUCAGCAAGGGAGGCAGCACUCGAAGAAUCACAAAGAUAAGGUACUUACUCGUCAACGGCGAUGUACUUUCUCCGUUUUAACGGCCCGAAGGUGCCGCUGCCACGGCUUGGGGACCCCUUCCUCUUGCGGAGCUCCUCGAAGUCCACACAAAGCCGACCAAAGCGCUAGACAUGGCGGCCAACACAAGGCGCAACUGGAGAAGCGCUCGAAAACAACCUCAGGAGCGCCAAGCUGAGGGGGGCUAUCAGGCUCCGCCUCGCAGCGACCUGCUGAGGCCUCAGGAGCCUCGGCCUCGGGAGUCGCGGGCUGCAUCGCCCCCUCAACUGCGGCCCCAUGGCAAGAAUCACGAGCUCUCGAAGACGACGCCUCGGGAGCCCUAGGUGGCAUUAGCACCUCGGCACCCACGCCAUCGGCCUCCAGCGGUGCUCGCCCCCAUGCACCCACACCUGGGGCGAGCUCGACGCCAGCGGCAAGGAGGGGAUGCACAUUGACGGGGUUCUCACAGGGCCCCACCAGACCGACCGGACGCAGCCCCCACUCAUCGAAGGAGGGCAUACGCUCCACAAAUUCCACCUUGUUCAAGCAGCGGUACAGCAAGCAAUUCUUCCCCGGCAUGUCAUCUUGCAACGGGACACCCGUCAGGACCUCGAGCACCGUUCGCCACGCCUCAAGGGGGAGCCCGGAUUCCUGAAGUCUCAUGUGGUCCUUGCAGCUAAGCAAGGCCCACAUUGGCCGGGAAUGGCGCUGAAGCGGAGCAACCCGGCAUCGGACGAACUCCUUCACCACCAUAGGCGCAGUCAUGCCAAGGUCUUUCAGCCCCUUCAGCCUGAGCCAGACGGGGACAAGGCGCGGAUCGGCGAGCCUUUGAUGGCACCAAUAGGAGUUGGGAAUGGCAGGCGCCGACGGAGAAUGGAGUAGAGGGCUGAGCACUCCGACAUCAACAAAUACCCACCGUGUCCGAAACUCGCUCAUGGAUGGUGGAAGCUUGAAGUCAAUUCCCGCGCCUGCCGUCGCCGCCACAGCCUGGAAGCUCAGGCACCCCGAGCUCUGUUGGAGAUUAGUCAGGUGCAGCAAGAAGAAGUGGCGGAGAAGGGCCACGGAAGGAGCAAUGCCCACCAUGGCCUCGCAAACAAAGGCGAAGACGGCAAGAAGGGUCACGGAUUGGGGAUCAAGGUGCAGCAUGUGGAUCUGAUAAAUGGGGAAGCACUGCGUUGAAGAAGGCGGAGAAAGGAGGAACCAGGCCAGCCCAAAGGGCGUCGAUGAAGAAUGGGACCUCGGUGGCUGUCCGGUCGAUACGAGCACGAGACGCAGGCCAGGCCAUUGUCCCUCCCCACUCAUUGAAGCUGGAGGGGAGCAUGGGACGCACCUUGUCCAAGGCUUCUUGGUUGAGCACCAGCGACCUGCCAACUACAGGCUUAGUGGCCGGACGAAGCUCUGCGGAGGAUAGGGGACUCUUCCCUUUCUCCGACUGGUCCGGCGCCAUGGCAAUGGGAGGAUUGAGCUCAGAUCGGAUCGGGAGAAGACGCUGAGCUUCGAGGAAGUGGAAGAAUUGGGGAGUGCGCCGCAACAACGGGAGGGAAACCGUGUAGAUCGCGGUGGCCGCCUAGCCAAGCGGGUAUGAAGGCAGUGUGGGGAAGCGGAGACUCCCACGUCCAAUCAACCACCACACAUCGACCAAGGCCGCAGGCUGUUGGGGCGAGCGGCGCUCUGCACUUGCCCUUUGGCUUCGCCUCAAAGCCAAGUCCGAGCGCGCCUUGGGCCCGGGGGCUACUAUUGGUGUUCUAGGAACGGGGGUCCCCAGACUUGCCUGCCUGCGAACCACGGCGUGGCUCUGCAAGCGGGGCCGUACGGCCCAUCUUCACCAACAAGCAUUUGAGACCCUCGCGAGGGGCCAAGCCUCACGAGGUGGAUGACACAAGACCUCCUCGGGAGCGGCCUCACCAGGCUGCCUCGCGAGGGGCGGAGAGAUCAAGGCAAGGCAAAUCUUGCAAGGUUCUCAUGACGUGAGCCGUGACGAUCGAGACCAGGCGGGUGCCAGGCAGGCGCCAGCGCGCACAGUGUCCUUGUUUCCUCUUUGGUGCUAAGGAGGCAAGCGCAGGCGAGGAGUAUCGAGGAGUCAAGCAAAGAUUUCCAUAUCAGUGCAACAAGACCAAGACCAGCAGGAUGGCAAGACGGAGGUCACCAUGGAGCCCAAGGCGGCGUCACCACUAGAGCCUUUGGCAAGCGAAGAGUGCUUUUGUCAGGAUAACUUGUACUAGCUGUCCCCUUUCAAAUUGGCCAUUGUGGCGUCCCUUCCCGAUCAAUAAUUGGGGAGAGGACCAGGGCAUCUAUAAAUAGGAUUAGCCACCACAGUAGGAGGCAACGGAGCCUCAACCAUCUCAUCUUAGACUAGAUCCAACCUAUCCUCACACCCACCAACCACAAGAACACCUCACCACAGGAGGCUGUUCUUCCCCUUGUACUGUUCAUCCUCGGCUCGAGAGGCAAUCCACCACACCACACUGGAGUAGGGUAUUACACCACAACAGUGGCCCGAACCAGUAUAAAUCUAGUGUCUCUUGUGUUGCAAGUUCGUCGAGCUAAGCUUAGAGAUCCCGGUGAGGCUGAGAGCAUGAUUCGAUAGGGCGAGAUCUUCGUGCGCACCCUAGGUUUUGCCGGAACCCGAGAUCCGACAACUUGGUCAAAUGAUAUUCAUUGAAAAUCUCAAGCAUCUCAUUUUUCCACUCAUGGAAGUACUCUCCAUCAAGUAUAUGCACUCUAUGUCUAAGACUCCCCAACGUAGACUCAUCCAUCUUCCUCCUAUGAUGAUUAAACCAAAGCAAUGGAGACCAAUGCUCUGAUACCAAUUGAAAGGAUCGAGAAGAGGUGUCUAGAGGGGGGUGAAUAGACUCUUAUCAACAAAAGUGGCAGUUUUAAUUGCUUCAAGUUGAGGUGGAGUUUUAGCACAUGUUCAAACAUUCACAAUACAUAUCAAGCAAGCAUGACAAGAGUAUAUGGGCAGCGGAUAGUAAAGCAUGCAAUUUUGCAAGAACGUAAAGGGAUGGGAUUGUAGUGUUCAAACGCAAUUGGAGACACGGAGAUUUUUGGCGUGGUUCCGAUAGGUGGUGCUAUUGUACAUCCACGUUGAUGGAGACUUCAACCCACGAAGGGUAACGGUUGCGUGAGGUCACGGAGGGCUCCACCCACGAAGGGUCCACGAAGAAGCACCUUGUCUAUUCUACCAUGGCCAUCGCCCACGAAGGACUUGCCUCACUAGGGUAGAUCUUCACGAAGUAGGCGAUCUCCUUGCCCGUACAAACUCCUUGGUUCAACUCAACAAUCUUGACGGAGGCUCCCAAGUGACACCUAACCAAUCUAGGAGACACCACUCUCCAAAAGGUAAUAGACGGUGUGUUGAUGAUGAACUCCUUGCUCUUGUGCUUCAAAUGAUAGUCUCCCCAACACUCAACUCUCUUUCAUAGGAUUGGAUUUAGUGGAAAGGUGAUUUGAGUGGAAGGCAACUUGGAGAAGGCUAGAGAUCAAGAUUUAUGUGGUUGGAAUGGAAUAUCUUGACCUCCACACAAGUGUAGGCGGUUCUCUCUCAGAAAAUGUAAGUUGGAAGUGUAGGCAUGUUCUGAUAGCUCUCUCCAUGAAUGAAGAGUGGGUGGAGGGGUAUAAAUAGCCUCCACACAAAAUCUAACCAUUAUAGACAAUUUACCAAACUCGGUGGGACCGAAUCAGAAAACUCGGUCAGACCGAUUUAGUUCAUAAUGUGACCGUUAGGCAUUUCGGUGGGACCGAUACGAUCAACUCGGUAGGACCGAUGUGCUAGGGUUAGGGUAAAGCCUCAUCUUGGUUUGACCGAUUGCACAAACUCGGUGGGACCGAUUUGGGUAAUAAGGGAAACAGAGAGUUGGCCAAGCAAACUCGGUGAGACCGAUUGCAUAUCUCGGUGAGACCGAAAUUAUUACAGUAGGCAACAGAGAGUUUUCAAGCCCAUCUCGGUGAGACCGAGAUCCCAUCGGUGAGACCGAAUUGAUUAGGGUUUCUGGCAGUGGCUAUGUCAACUGAACUCGGUGGCGCCAGAUAGAAAGAUUCGGUAGGGCCGAGUUUGACUCUUGGUUUGGGACAUAUGUGGAAGUGAGAAAGUGGUUGAGGAUUUUGGAGCAUAUCACUAACCAUUUUGAGCAAGCAAGCCAUUAAGCAACACCUCAUCCCCUUUUAAUAGUAUUGGCUUUCCUAUGGACUCAAUGUGAUCUUGGAUCACUAAAAUAGAAAAUGUAGAGUCCCGAGCUUUGAGCUUGAGCGAAUCCAUUUGAAGGGGUUCCUCAUCCUCUAGUCCAUGCCACUCCAUUUGUUGAACUUGUCUGUAAUAUACUAGAUGAAAACAUUAGUCCAACAAGAGAUAUGUUGACAUUAAUUACCAAAACCACCGAGGGAGCACUUGUGCUUUCAGAGGCGCCCAAGAGGGGGAAGAUAUCCCUCCCGGAUGGCUCGGAUUCGGAUGCUGAAGUCAUCCCCAAGUGGCGCCUCAGGCCGAAGCCCCUUGUCGCAUCGUAAGUACACGAGGGUGCCUUUCAUAUGCUCAAUCUUUAUGAUUGUAAUUUAACACAUUAUAUGAUGUAGUCCGGCCCGCGAUCUCCCCCAACAAUCAUCGGAGGGGAAUUCUUUGGACCCGAAGAUGAUGGAGAGCGAGUCGUCUUCGCGAGCCUCCCCGCCUAUCACCACGGACGACACCGAAGUAUUGUCCCGAAGGGCCUCUCCGGGCCACGGGAUGGUACGGGAGGCCGCUGAAACAAUAGCCGAGGGUAACGCCUUGGCCGCCGAAAACACGGGGGGAACAAUCCCCAAGGAGACUGACGGCGGGGGCCUUGACCAGUCCGGCCCCCAGCCGAACACUAUUCCGGAAACCCAAGUGGCUCCGGAAUCGAAUAGGGGACCCCCUGAAGGGAGGGGGGAGUGACAACUCCCGCGGCAACCUCCACUAAUCCGGAGACACCGAACACACUGAUGGAGGCACUGCAACGUGCUUCCGUCAUGGAGGAGCACCACACCCUAAUGGGUGUGGUGAUUGAAAAGGUUCAGCCCGCCAAGAGCGGCCUGAACGAGGCCGUCACUAGCCUGCUAAUAGGCUUCGAGGUAUGCGAUGUAAUAUUCCUGACCGCCUUUCGUAUGAAAAAGAUGCCUGUGUAUAGAUAGUAGCCCCUGAGACUCUCGUCGUCUUUUGAAAAAGGGCGAACAGAGGAUCGAUAAUAUUCGCAGGUGAUAAUGUACUUUUAUAUGUUGAGACGCAGGCUUCACUGUUAGCAGCAACCGCCUAGGCCGCCGAAGUAUCCGAGCUUAAGCGUAAGCUGGAGCUAGCCGAUGAGCAUCUCGUCCACAUCAACAAGAGAUUUGAUGAAGCACAAGGUAUGUUUCAGAAUGUUUCGUUCAUGCCUAUAUUAAUAUGCAGAUCUUGAGUCAAAGCUCAUGCGCUGCUAUGUGUAUGAUUGCAGGCAGUGCUACUGCAGUCGAGGCCCUUAGGGUUGAACUUGCAGAGGCCAAGGAGCAGGCAAGGGUGAACAAAGUGGCCGCUGAUAAAGCAGCCGAGGACUUGAAGUCUGAACAUGUUGUCCACUGCCAAUACGAGGAGCGGAUGACCGAAGUGGAGCAGGCACUCAAGGACGCCGCCAACAAGUGCGAGUACCUAGAGGAGAAGAAUAAAGCCCAGGCGAUGGACCUUACCAAGACCCUUAAAGAGGCCGAGGAGGCGCGGGCCGAAUCCUGAGCGGUGCGCGAGGAGAUCAAGCAAGCCAGACAAAUAGCGGCUAGUAAGCCCUUUCUUUUACAGAGGAAAUUUGGUAAUCAGAAGUAUGUCAUGCUUACUCGACUAUGGAGUGCUCCAGAUGCCUUUGCGGAUCUUCCAAAGAGUGCCGCCGAUGCCGCGAAGUUUGUUCGGGCCCAGGAGGGGCACACGACGGAGAAGCUAUUCUCGUCAUAGCUCGCGGCGCAGGAGCGCCCAGCGCUGUUGAUUGACCAGAUGGCGCUGUGGCCCAAGCUGCAUAGGAUGUCCGGAUUGGCCAUGAGGGACGUCAUAGUCCGGCUGUGGCCAACCGAACCCGUCCCAAGCAGCUAUUUUGGCUUGGUGCAACGACUUGUUGACGCACUGCCCCGCAUUGACGCGGUCAAGCGGUCGUCAUGUAUAGAAGGUGCGCGGCUAGCCUUUGCCCGUGUCAAGAUGCACUGGGCAAAAAUGAAGGCCGCCAUCGGGCUGUUGAGGGUCCGCCCGGAGGAAAGGACCACCGCACGCCGGAGCGCUAUUUUGAAGACGUCCUCGAGUGUCCCCGCUUGAUAGAGGGCCAGUGCUCGAAGGGCAUCAUGUUCGAGUGAAUGUAUCCGAACUGCCCAGACGUUUUAUAAACCAAAGCUUUGUAAUAUAUUUAUGAUGUUUAUCUUAAAGUGUUUUUCCUCCUGUGAGGCCAUUUUUAUCCCUGAGAGUUUGCCAGUCGUCAGCUUCAGCCCCCAUGUAGAUACUACGAGGGUGUUUGGGGUAGCACAUAACCACACUUGACCCAACGUCUUGGUCCGUGAAGGAGGUGUUAGUGCGCAAACCAGGCAAUCGGACUAUGCGGCUUUAUUACUCUCACUUAGCCAUAGGAGUUUGACAAUGGGACUGUGAGAUAGCCCCUGGUGCGCGUGCGGGUAUCCGAACUUGGAUGCCUUAAGCAUGUGACUGGAAAGAGCCAGUCCUUCAUGUAAUACGGAAUAAAUCACUAGAGAUUUAGUAGGUCACUGAAUUGCUGACCAGCUCUCGCCGCAUCAUGACAGUCAGUUUUCGGCUUUCUCUACUGAGGUGUUUGACCGGACGAACCAGAAAUACAAUCGCAGUAGUUCUCCCUUUACUACCUUAGCCGAACAAGCGGAACGUAAGGUGGUAAUCACAGGAACCGGGCAACCCAACAAUUGACCAAAGACAUGAUUCGGAGCCUAUGCAUAUAGUGCCAUAUUCGGGACCUUGAAGCAUACUUAUAAAAGUGUUCGAACUUGUUUUGUUUGAAAAAAUAUACGUGGCCGAAUAGAGCCCCUGGCGAUUUGAAUUGUGCCGAGGUAUAUACAACAAUCUGACGUAAAGAGGGAAUAUAGAUUGAGAACUAAGCCAAUACAGAACAGGUUGGGCGAAACUGUUCACAUUAUAGUCUGGUUGAUACGUCAAAAUGUAUUUUUACAGAGGAUGCAAUAAGCAUCUAGGCUAUUUUACAUGCCGAGCACAAGGGAAAGUUGUAUACAGCUCCUGAAGAGGAAAAAAUAUGAUCUUGAAGAUCCUUUGGAUACUCUGGCACACGUCUGCGCUGCUUUUCACCUUGGUAUAUGCUCCUUUGAGAGGAUAAAUGAUCGAGCAUACAUAAGGGGCCUGGAAAAAGGGCCCUUGGUACGAUCGAAAAGUGAUGUGGGUUGUAAAGGACAUGAAAAAUAAAAAUAAGAAGAAGAAAAAGAAGAAUAUGAGUGUCCGGAUAGGGUCGAACCAUAUUGUGGUCCUUAUUUUUAGUAUGCCUCCGUCCUUGCCCAUGGUAUCUUUAGUGCGUAGUUAUGUACGCACGAUACGUAUGCCACUAUCAGGUUGGGGCUUUGAUAGAAGCUGAAUUGUUAAUCUAGCUCUGGAUGAGCCAGGCUUCCAUUAUGCAGGGUAGACCGGACUCGUUUAACAGUGUCCCGGGGCUUGAGUGCUGAUGUAGUAUUCGGCUUAAUGAGGCUACCCUGUACUUCGGCUGCGAGGGCCGCGGUACGCUCCUCAGUACAAAGGGAGCGCUCCAUGUUUCCAUUGACUAUGAUAACGCCACGUGGUCCAGGCAUCUUGAGCUUUAGAUAAGCGUAGUGCGGGACUGCAUUGAAACGGGCGAAAGCGCUUCGUCCAAGCAGUGCGUGGUAGCCGCUGCGGAAGCUGACGAUGUCGAAGAUCAAGUCUUCGCUUCAGAAAUUAUCUAGUGAGCCGAAGACGACUUCCAGCGUUAUCGAUCCUGUACAACAGGCCUCUACGUCGAGUAUCACUCGUUUAAAGGUGGUUUUAGUGGGCUUGAUUCUUGAUGGAUCAAUACCCAUUUUACAGACAGUGUCCUGAUAAAGCAGGUUAAGACUGCUGCCACCGUCCAUAAGGACUCGCGUGAGGUGGAAUCCAUCGAUAAUUGGAUCGAGGACCAAUGCGGCCGAACCUCCAUGACGGAUACUGGUCGGAUGGUCUCUGCGAUCAAAAGUGAUCGGACAGGCUGACCAUGGGUUAAAUUUGGGGCGACUGGCUCUAUGGCAUAAACGUCCCUUAAUGCGUGCUUGCGCUCCCGCUUAGGGAUAUGAGUAACGUAGAUCAUAUUCACCAUUUUGACCUCNNNNNNNNNNNNNNNNNNNNNNNNNNNNNNNNNNNNNNNNNNNNNNNNNNNNNNNNNNNNNNNNNNNNNNNNNNNNNNNNNNNNNNNNNNNNNNNNNNNNNNNNNNNNNNNNNNNNNNNNNNNNNNNNNNNNNNNNNNNNNNNNNNNNNNNNNNNNNNNNNNNNNNNNNNNNNNNNNNNNNNNNNNNNNNNNNNNNNNNNNNNNNNNNNNNNNNNNNNNNNNNNNNNNNNNNNNNNNNNNNNNNNNNNNNNNNNNNNNNNNNNNNNNNNNNNNNNNNNNNNNNNNNNNNNNNNNNNNNNNNNNNNNNCCUUAUGUUCGGUGUUUAGCUUACCGGCCUGCUGAAAGACCCAACAAUUUUUGUUGGUAUGAUUGGCAGGCUUGUCAGGGGUGCCAUGAAUCUGGCAAGGCCUAUCGAGUAUUCUGUCCAAACUGGAUGGACCAUCUUUGUUUCCUUUGAAUGGCUUCUUCCGCUGACCGGGUUUAGAGCCACCGAAUCUGGCGUUGACCGUCGUAUCUUUGGUAUCUUCAUUUAGUUUUGGCGCUUGUGUUUGUUGCGUCGUGGCUUCCAUUACCAUCUCUGGCUUCGGAGGUGCCAGGGUUGCUGGUGCUGUUGCUUCUACGAGCGAGCCUACUGUCUUCUCCCACGCAAAAGCGGGUCAUGAGUGCGGUAAGGGCUGCCAUGGACUUCUGUUUUUCUUGGCUGAGGUGUCGGGAGAGCCACUCGUCCCGGGCACUGUGUUUAAAGGUCGCGAGGGCUUCGGCGUCCGGACAGUCCACAAUUUGGUUCUUUUUAAUUAAGAACCUGGUCCAUAGCUUCCGGGCUGAUUCUCCGGGUUGCUGGACUAUGUGACUAAGGUCAUCGGCGUGUGGAGGCCGAACAUAGGUACCUUGGAAAAUAUCUCUAAAGGCAUCUUCCAAGUCUUCCCAGCUACCAAUAGAGUUUUUUGGGAGGCUGUUUAACCAGUGCCGAGCUGGUCCCUUUAAUUUUAGUGAGAGGUACUUGAUGGUAGGGAGAUCAACACUUCGGGCCAUGUGGAUAAUGAGAAGAAGAUCUUCAAUCCAUACUGCGGGAUCUGUCGUUCCAUCGUAUGAUUCAAUGUUCAUGGGUUUAAACCCUUCUGGGAACUAGUGCUCCAUUACCUUAUCGAUGAAGCAUUGGGGGUGUGCGGCGCCUCUGUAUCGGGCGACGUCGCGACGCAGUUCGGAUGAAGUCCGUAUGCGGUUUUUGGCCCCAGUGAGGUUGUGCCUGCCGCGCCAGGCCUGAUGGCCAUCUUCGCGCGUUGGAGCUCGCCCCCUUGAUCCAUAGAUCGAUCUGGCUUGGCCUGCUCUAUUGUCUAGGUCCUGCCAUAGGUCGUAGGUGUAUCUUGGAGCUAUUGUCUCUCUGCCUUCACGGCGAGGUGGUGCGGGUUGGUGUUCGGUGUAGGUGGCCGCUUUAUCUUGUCCACCUGGCGGCCGGUCUGGUUCAUCAGCACGGUCGUAUCUUGACGGUAUGGGCUUGACGACCUCGUCGUCGAAUUGUGGAAGUAGCCGACGCUUUGGAUAACUCUUUGUUGGGCGUUGAAGGCCGUACUCUUUGGCAGCCAGGACUUGGCUCCAUCUGUCGUUGAGUGUAUCCUGCUCGGCUUGGAGCUAUUGCUGCUUCUUUUUUAGGCUUCUCGUAGUGGCGAUUAGCUGGCGCUUAAAGCACUCCUGCUCGAGUGGUUCCUCUAGUACGAUGAAGUCUUCGUCACCGAGGCUCACAUCAUCCUCGGAGAUUGGUAGAUAUUUACUAUCCUCCGAGUCCUCGUUCGCGACUGCAUCGUCAGGGUUAACUUGCCCAUCUUACCAAUCAUCCUGUUCGGAUGUUGGCUCAAUAGGGGCUUCGGGGUCUUUGGCGUUCUCCGGGUGUUAUUAUCUCUCGUGCCGGUACUGCUGUCUUUUUCGUGAUGUGAUUUUGAGCGGCGCCGCUGACGUCGACACUUUGGAGCUACUUCAGCGGGCUUGUCCUCAACCGGAUCCUUCCUGCCGUCGUCGUCAUCCUCUUUGGGUGUGUCCACCAUAUACACGUCAUAUGUGGAGGUGGCCGUCCAACGUCCGGUAAACGGCGGGUCUUGGCCUUGUGCGUCUCUAGCAUUGUCUUCCAUGCCGUCGAUGUCUUCGGAGGUGUAGUCCAGCAUGUCAGUUAAGUAUUUGACAAUGGCUAUGAAGUGCGUGGUGGGCGAGACGUAAAAUUCCCUCUCUCAGCCCCUAGUCCGGGCUGGGCAUAGUUCAGAAGUGAUUCCUCUGUAAUAGCGAUGGAUCACAUUAAGUCCAGGGCCUCGUUUAAGAGCGAGGUUUGGAUGUGGAAGCGAGAGUUCGCGGGGCUGGCCGGGGUGAAAGCCUCCUGGCCAUGCCUACUUGGGGCGGACUUCGAGAGUUCAGAUCUGGAGUCCGGGGGCAAGUCCGGCCUUUUCAAUGAUAGGGGGAACCUGGACUAGUUCCGAGUUCGCCGUGGACACGAUCGCAUCUGGAUCCUCGAUAAUGAGGUUUGCAACGGAGAGUUUGGUGGGCUCCACACUCCCAUCUUUGGACCUGAUGGUUUGCUGGAUCUAAGGCCAGAGCGAUGGUCGGGGCCGCGAACCCUUCGAAGAUCAAGUCUCCUCGGAUAUCAGCGACAUAGUUUAGGUUCUCGAAACUGAUCUGGUGACCAGGGGCGUAGCUAUCGAUAUGUUCAAGGUGGCCAAUCGAGUUGGCACGCAGUGCGAAGCCGCCGAAUAUGAAAAUUUGGCCGGGGAGGAAAGUCUCCCCCGAAACAUCAUCAUUGUAGAUGAUCAAUCGAGCCAUCGAACCUUCUGUCGACGGCACAAUGGAACUCUCAAUGAAAUCACCAAUGUCGGUGUCAAAACCGGCCGAUCUCAGGUAGGGGGUCCCGAACUAUGUGUCUGAGGAUCGAAGGUAACAUGAGACAAGGGAAAUGAUGUUUACCCAGGUUCGGGCGCUCUUAAUGGAGGUAAUACCCUACUUCCUGCUUGAUUGACUUUGAUGAGUAUAGGGGUUACAAGAGUUGAUCUACCUCGAAAUCGUAAUGGCUAAACCCUAGAUGUCUAGCCUGUAUGAUUAUGAUUGCCUCUAUAGACUAAAUCCUCCGGUUUAUAUAGACACCGGAGGGGCCUAGGGUUGUACAGAGUCAGUUUACAGAGAAAGGAAACUUCAUAUCCGAAUGCCAAGCUUGCCAUCCACGCAAAGGAGAAUCCCAUCCGAACACGGGGGAAGGCCUUCUAUCUUGUAUUUUCAUAACCCAUCAGUCCGGCCCAUGUCACAUAGCCCGAACGCCCAGGGACCCCCUAAUCAAGGACUCCCUCAAUGCAUUUUUGUUUUUGGCACGGAGUGCUAUAUCCGGAUCACUUGUUUGAGCUUCAUGUACCCGUAGUGGGGUAUUGCUUGGAAGCGUGUGAAAGCAUCUCGCCCUAAUAAGGCGUGAUAUCCGUUGUUGAAAGCCGCCACGUGGAAGAGUAACUCUUCAGACCUGUAGUUCUCCGGUGUGCCGAAUAGUACAUCAAGUUUAAUUUUCCCCGAGCAUCACGCUUCUCGGCUGGGGAUAAUACCUCGAAAGGUUGUAUUGCUCUGCUCGAUGCGGCUCUUGUCCAUUUGCAUUUUGUGAAGCGUGUCCUUGUAGAUGAGGUUUAGUCUGCUGCCACCGUCCAUGAGCACUUUAGUAAGUCUGAAUCCAUCUACAAUUGGGUUUAAGACCAAGGCGGCAGGUGCUCGGACCAGUCUACAUCUUGGUUUGUCUUCGGCACCAAAAGUUAUUGCCAUAUCGUUCCAAGGAUUUACUGUGGCCACUUAGUUGACUUCGGCGAGGUCGUGGAGCGCCCUUUUGUGCUGGUUGUUUGAAGAAAAGGUCUCGAAGACCAUAAAGACGUUGAGGUCGUCGUCCUCUAGAGAGUGCACCUCCGGGGUAGUUUUAGAGAGGAUGGCGUCGCCGCUCUUAGCCACCUGCCGGAGUACCCAACAUGCCCGAAGGCUAUGUGUUGGUUCCGUAUUCGGCGUAGUUUGAAUUGGAUAGGGCUUGUCGUGUAAUACGUCCAGGACGGUUCUAUGACCUAUGGACUUGAUUCUUUUUUCAAUGAGGUGAUGAUCAGGUGGCCCGUGAGGGUACAUCCUUUUUGCCCAUCCGGCGGGUUGCUUGAAGGCCGGAGGAUCCCAUCGGGCUGUCUGAGCUUUCCAAGCGCUUUCCAUUGUGUAGUACUUCUGCACUAUGUGUGCCAAAUCUGUGAAGUGCAGUAUGCGGCGGCGGUUGAGGGCAUUGAGGAUUUGCUCGUCCGUACAGUUCUGGCAGAAAACUGAAACCGCGCCGUCGUCGCAGCAAUCUUUAAUCUUGUUUUAAACAAGGAGGAACCUGACCCAGAAGUGAUGGACCGUUUCCUGAGGUUGUUGUCGUAUGUACAUUAGGUCAAAUACAUCUUGAGGACCUGAAUUGCUUGGAGAAUAUUGUUUGUGGUGGGUGGGCGGGCUAAAAUCAGACCCCUGACCCACUAUUGUAUCCGGAGUUUGAAGAGUUUGCGAGGUCACCGGCCCAGGACCCGAAGUGUCCUGGCGGCCGUUGGUUUCAACGCUCGGUGCUGUGUUCGGAGGACAUGAGGUCUCUUCCCGAAGAUGGGUAUCCAGCUCGUAGGACUCGGAUAUCCGAACAUAGUUUGUCUGCAAUUUAGGGGAGAAGUAGUCUCGGAUUGUUCCUCCACGACCGCUACGAGAUGGGUGAUCGGCGAUGACCUGCUUUCCCUCUGAUCGGGUUUAAGCCCAAUCCGAUCGUAGUUCGUUGCAACUUCCACGGCGGCGAUGCGAUCUAGUAGCUCGUUUAAGGAUGAGACAUUUGUUGGAUCCAUCUUUUCGGGGUGUUGAAGGCCGAUGCGAAGACGACGUUUGGCGAUCUCGAGGGCUGCCUUUGGCUGAACGGCCGUGCAGGCACCAAUGGUGAAACUAUCAAGCUGGAGGACCUGACCCGGAGCUAGGGCCCCUCCAGAGGUAAUGUUGUCUUUAAUGACGAGGCGAGCCAUUGAUCCCGCCGUCGACGACAUAGUGGAACUCUCAAUGAAAGCACCAAUAUCGGUGUCAAAACCGGCCGAUCUCGGGUAGGGGGUCCCGAACUGUGCGUCUGAGGAUCGAAGGUAACAUGAGACAAAGAGGACACGAUGUUUACCCAGGUUCGGGCCCUCUUGAUGGAGGUAAUACCCUACUUCCUGCUUGAUUGACUUGGAUGAGUAUAGGGGUUACAAGAGUCGAUCUACCUCGAGAUCGUAAUGGCUAAAUGAUGUCUACUACACAACCUUCUUCUUGUAGACGUUGUUGGGCCUCCAAGUGCAGAGGUUUGUAGGACAGUAGCAAAUUUCCCUCAAGUGGAUGACCUAAGGUUUAUCAAUCCGUGGGAGGCGUAGGUUGAAGAUGGUCUCUCUCGAACAACCCUUUAACCAAAUAACAAAGAGUCUCUUGUGUCCCCAACACACCCAAUACAAUGGUAAAUUGUAUAGGUGCACUAGUUUGGCGAAGAGAUGGUGAUACAAGUGCGGUAUGGAUGGUAGAUAUAGGUUUUUGUAAUCUGAGUUUAUAAAAACAGCAAGGUAAAAAGUGAUAGAAGUGAGCACAAACGGUAUUGCAAUGCAUUGAAACAAGGCCUAAGGUUCAUAAUUUCACUAGUGCAAGUUCUCUCAACAAUAAUAACAUAAUUGGAUCAUAUGACUAUCCCUCAACAUGCAACAAAGAGUCACUCCAAAGUCACUAAUAGCGGAGAACAAACGAAGAGAUUAUUGUAGGGUACGAAACCACCUCAAAGUUAUCCUUUCUGAUCGAUCUAUUCAAGAGUCCGUAGUAAAAUAACAUGAAGCUAUUCUUUCUGUUCGAUCUAUCAUAGAGUUUGUACUAGAUUAACACCUUAAGACACAAAUCAACCAAAACCUUAAUGUCACCUAGAUACGCCAAUGUCACCUCAAGUAUCCAUGGGUAUGAUUAUAUGAUAUGCAUCACACAAUCUCAGAUUCAUCUAUUCAACCAACACAAAGAACUUCAAAGAGUGCCCCAAAGUUUCUACCGGAGAGUCAAGACGAAAACGUGUGCCAACCCCUAUGCAUAAGUUCACGAGGUUACAGAACUCGCAAGUUGAUCACCAAAACAUACAUCAAGUAGAUCACGUGAUAUCCCAUUGUCACCACAGAUAAGCACGUGCAAGACAUACAUCAAGUGUUCUCAAAUCCUUAAAGACUCAAUCCGAUAAGAAAACUUCAAAGGGAAAACUCAAUCCAUUACAAGAGAGUAGAGGGGGAGAAACAUCAUAAGAUCCAACUAUAAUAGCAAAGCUCGCGAUACAUCAAGAUCGUACCACCUCAAGAACACGAGAGAGAGAGAGAUCAAACACAUAGCUACUGGUACAUACCCUCAGCCCCGAGGGUGAACUACUCCCUCCUCGUCAUGGAGAGCGUCGGGAUGAUGAAGAUGGCCACCAGUGAGGGAUCCCCCCUCCGGCAGGGUGCCGGAACAGGGCCCCGAUUGGUUUUUGGUGGCUACAGAGGCUUGCUACGGCGGAACUCCCGAUCUAGGUUAUGUUCUGGGGGUUUCUGUAUAUAUAAGAGGUUUUGGCGUUGGGGACAAGUCAGGGGGUCUCUGAGGCGGCCACGAGGUAGGGGGUGCGCCCAGGGGGGUAGGGCGCGCCCCCACCCUCGUGGUUGCCUCGAGACUCUUCUGUCCCAUCUCCGAUACUCCAUGGGCUUCUUCUGGUGCAAAAACAAUCUCCGUCAAAUUUCAGGUCAAUUGGACUCCGUUUGGUUUUCCUUUUCCGCGAUAGUUAAAAACAAGGAAAAAAAGAAACUGGCACUUGGCUCUAGGUUAAUUGGUUAGUCCCAAAAAUCAUAUAAAAUAGCAUAUAAAUGCAUAUAAAACAUCCUAGAUGGAUAAUAUAAUAGCAUGGAACAAUAAAAAAUUAUAGAUACGUUGGAGACGUAUCACUAAACCCUAGAUGUCUAGCCUAUAUGAUUUGUGAUAGCCUCUACAGACUAAAUCCUCCGACUUAUAUAGACACUGGAGGGGCCUAGGGUUUUACAGAGUCGGUUUAAAGAGAAAGGAAACUAUACUUCCAGACGCCAAGCUUGUCAUCCACGCAAAGGAGAGUCCCAGCCAGACACUGGGGAAGGCCUUCUAUCUUGUAUCUUCACGGCCCAUCAGUCCGGCCCAUGCUACACAGUCUGGAUGCCCGAGGACCCCAUAAUCUAGGACUCCCUCUAGCGACCACGGCACGCGUGCCUCCCCCUGGACGGGUUGACCAAGUUGUCGCGCCCGACGGAGCCGUUGGCCCCCAAGCGCCUUCGCCGCACCACCCUGCCAUCCAGGUGGAUGCCCCGCAGCAGGGGGCGCGGUGCUGCCGUUGCUGGCACCGUUAGGAGCUGAGCGACGAUGCGAUCGAUUUCAUCAUCACCCAUGCCAAGCACAACCUCAGCGACCAUGGCGCGAGCUCAACUUCUACUGAGGUUUCCGCCAGCGGCCGAGCAGAUGGACGAAUGGCGAGCCACCAUCUAAAGUCUGCUCGGUUUCGCCGAAGCUGGGGGAUCACGGCGAGCUGGCCCGCCACAACCUCCCCAGGCGACGACAACAGCUCGUGCUUCUGGCCGCACAAAAGGGGGCACCCCCAUGAUGCAUUCCCCGCCGCGGCAACCAGCGCGAGCGCACCAGAAUCAAGACCUGAUGACGUCUCGAUGGCCUCUUUUGACCCUCGAGCAUAUCCAGGCCGACGACGAGCCCCGGAGGAUAGGCGAGGGGCAGACACGCGCGUCGUCGUUGGGCAACACCGUGACGACCCCCGCCGGGCCAAUGGGUGCGACGGCCCCGACAUCGAUGAACCCGCACUCGGUACUAGAGGGUGCCUACCUUUUGAGGUUGGGUGCCCAGCCAUUACUCGUGAGUUGCGGCUAGUCCGUUGGCCGUCUGUUCACAUGUUCAAGCCAGAGAUACCUGAGAAAUACGAUGGGAGGCUAAACCCAGCAGAGUUUCUCAGCAUCUACGCCAUCGCUGUUCAGGCUGCCGGGGGAAGAGAUGAGAAGGUGUUUGCCAAUUACUUCCCUUUGGCUCUCAAGUCCAAUGUGAGGUCCUCACUGAUGCAUGAUAACCCACAAGUAUAGGGGAUCGCAACAGUUUUCGAGGGUAGAGUAUUCAACUCAAAUUUAUAGAUUCGACACAAGGGGAGCCAAAGAAUAUUUGAAGGUAUUAGCAGCUGAGUUGUCAAUUCAACCACACCUGGAGAUUAAUUAUCUGUAGCAAAGUGAUCAGUAGCAAAGUAGUUUGAUAGUUUUGAUAGUAGUGACAGCAGCAAUAGUAACAAUAACAGUGAUAGCAGUAAUUAUGUAGCAAGUGUAACAGUUAUGAUAGCAGUAGUAACUUAGCAUAAACAAUAUGGAAAAGUUCGUAGGCAUUGGAUCGGUGACUUGUUGGAUGAUAUUCAUCAUGUGACAGUUAUAACCUAGGGCGAUUCGGCACUAGCUCCAAUUCAUCGAUAUAAUGUAGUCAUGUAUUCCAUAAAUAGUCAUACGUGCUUUAUUAAAAGAACCUGCAUGACAUCUUUUGUCCUACCCUCCCGUGGCAGCGGGGUCCAUAUUGGAAACUAAGGGAUAUUAAGGCCUCCUUUUAAUAGAGAACCGAAACAAAGCAUUAACACAUAGUGAAUAUAUGAACUCCUCAAACUACGGUAAUCACCUGAAGAAGUCCCGGUUAUUGUCACUCCGGGGUUGCCGGAUCAUAACACGUAGUAGGUGACUAUAACUUGCAAGAUUGGAUCUAACACAUGGAUAUAAUGAUGAGUUCAUAAAUGGUGCAGAUCUGAAUUCAUGGCACCCGGGCGCAAAGUGACAAUCAUUAAGCAUGGCAAAGUCAUAGAAACAUCAAUCUAAGAACAUAGUGGAUACUAGGGAUCAAGCCCUAACAAAACUAACUCGAUUACAUGAUGAAUCUCAUCCAACUCCUCACCGACCAGCGAGCCUACGAAGGAAUUACUCACUCCCGCUGGGGAGCAUCAUGGAAUUGGCGAUGGAGAAGGUUUGGUGAUGACAAAGAACAAAGAUCCUCCUCUCUAGAGCCCCAAACGGACUCCAGAUCUGCCCUCCAGAGGAAGAACAGGGCUUAGCGGCGGCUCCGUCUCCUGGAUCGUGAUAAUUCUUUCUCCCUGAUUUUUCUCCGAAAAUAGGAAUUUAUAGUGUAAAGGUUGAGGUCUGCGGGGCCACCAGGUGAGUACAACCCACCUGGGAGCGCCCGGUGGGUUUUGCCCACCCAGGGGCCCCUCUCUGGUGGAUCUUGGCUCCAGAAAUUCUCUUUUAUUAUAUAAAAAAUCCUCGCAAAGUUUCGUUCCAUUCCGAAAACUUUUAUUUGUGCACAAAAACAACACCAUUGUAGUUCUGCUGAAAACAACGUCAGUCCGGGGUUAGUUUCAUUCAAAUCGUGCAAAUUAGAGUCCAAAACAAGAGGAAAAGCGUGGCAAAAAGUAGAUACGUUGGAGACGCAUCAACUCCCUCAAGCUUAAACCUUUGCUUGUCCUCAAGCAAUUCAGUUGAUAAACUGAAAGUGAGAAAGAAAAACUUUUAUGAACUCUUUUGCUCUUGUUUGCAUAAAUAAGCUUAAACAUCUCCCAGGUUUUCAGCCAACAUUAUAGCUAACCAUGUUAACAAUAACUCUUAAAGAUUAUAAUGACUCAUAUCAAUGACAUAAUCAGCUAGCGAGCAAUAAUAAGAAAUCUCAAAUGGCAACACAUUGUCAAAACAACCAUGAUAUAAUAUGACAAUAGUGGUAUCUCGCUAGCCCUUUCUGAGACCGCAAAACAUAAAUGCAAAGCACCUCCAAAGUUCAAGCAGCGACUAAACAUUGUAAUUCAUGGUAGAAACAUAUAGUCAUGAUGCACCCAACAUUAGCUACACACAAUGCAUAAAUCAUGACACCUGUGCUCUGCUCAGUUUCUGGCGCUUGAUUUUAGAAGGUGGUGGCACAACAUAAAAGUAAAUAGAUAGUCCCUUCGCAGAGGGAAGCAGUGAUUUGUAGAGAUGCCAGAGCUCAAUUUUUAAAACAGAGGUAAAUGAUUAUUUUGAGACAUGCACCCUUCUUAUUCACUUCACGACCAUCAGUUAUCAACAUCUUCCAUGCUAAGCACGCUAGUGGCGGUUCCCAAGCGAUAAAAAGUAAAGGUUUUGACUCCAAUGGGAGUUUUUGUUUGAUUAAUUCAGAGAUGAACUCUUUUUCAUGUUUGCAUUUUGGGACUGGGCAUCCCUAUUACCGCCCUUUUCUCGUUCGAUGGCGAGUGAAUAAACACUCAACGUGAGAAUAACCCGCUUAGCAUGGAAGAUACCAACCACCUCCUAUCGUUCCAUGAAUGAUCCAGGCACACAAAACAGAUAUUUUUUUUAGAAGUUUUUAGAGGUGGCACAUGCAAAUUUACUUAGGACGGCAGGGUAAUACCAUAUAUAGGUAGGUAUGGUGGACUCAUCUGGAAUAACUUUGGGUUCAAGGUUUUUGAUGUACAAGCAGAAUUCCCACUUAGUACAGGCGAAGGUUAGCAAUUUAGAUUGAGAAACGUCCAUCUAGAGAGCAACAACGAUCAUAACCAUGCAUUAUGCAUAAGUAACAUUGGACACUAGCAUGAGUAGGAUAUGAACACCAUGAACAUAAAUAUCAUAGAGGCUAUGUUGGUUUUGAUUCAACUACAUGUAUGAACAUGUGCCAAGUCAAGCCACUCGAACAUUCAGAGGAGGAUAAUAUAUCAUCAUACUACAUCACAAUCAUCUUAACUCAAUGUUGAUAUCCAAGAUAAAUCAUUAUUAACUCCCAGCUACUUAUGCAUGGCAUGAGAAACUAUAAUCUCUAAUUGUCAUUGCAAACAUGUUUAAUCAUAAUGGGCUGAAGCAUGGAUACUAGGUUAAACAUAUUUACACAAACAGAACAAGUCGAGUUAAUACCAGUUUCUCUCUGCCAUGGCCAGUUCAUCAAAUGUCGUCAAUAUUGCCUUUCACUUGCACGACCGAACGAUAUGAAAAUAAUAAUAGUGCAAGAGUGUCGUGGACUAAGCUGGAAUCUGCAAGACAUUUUAUUCAACAGGAGAAGACAAGGUAAAAUGGGCUCUUUAUUAGUUCAACAUUUAUUCAUAUGAGAGCCACUCAACAUUUUCAUCAUGGUCUUCUCCUCGGCAUAACUCGAAUAAAAAGAAAAGAAAUUCAGAGAAACACACUGAAAUAUUUUUGAAGUUUUUGGUUUUCUUGAACAAGCAAUUAAAGGGAAUAGCAAAAACGAGAAAAACUAUUUACACGGGAAAGCUCCCAACAAGCAAACGAAGAACAAGGAAAUCUUUUUGGGUUUUCUUUUUAAUAUUAUUACUAAGCAUGCAUAGAAAGUAAAUUAACUAUAACUAAUUUUUGGUUUUUUUUCUAAAUUUUUUCAAACACACAAGAAGAAAGCAAGAAAAUAAAUCUAAGCAUGGAUGAUACAAUGAAAAAUUGUGGACACCGACAAAUGGAAUAAGUGAACAUGAAUGUAAAGUCGGUGGAAACACGUACUCCCCCAAGCUUAGGCUUUUGGCCUAACUUGGUAGUCGAUCAGUAGCCUAGAGGGUAGUAGGGGUGCUGUGGAGCUGGCAUCCACUUGUCCGACUACUGGGGCUCCUGCUGUGCCGCUUCCGCAGCAGCCUGAGUGUUCCAGUAGGCGAUGAUGUCUGCAAGCAUGAUCCUAUAUCCACCCCUGGCAGCAAAAUCAAACAAAGCAGGUGCAGGCAAUGGAAUAACAUCAUGAGUUUUAACACUAAAGACCAGGUUAUAAGGAAUGGCAAUAUCAGGACAAUCAUGUGCAAGAAAGUGAUGGUGUUCCAUGGCUGCACGGUUUAGGUAAACCUUGGUCAGAGGGUAAUCAUGAGGGCGUAUCGCAACCUCGAAAUGAGCAGCCAAGUGAGUAGCAAAAAUCCCACCAUGUAUUUCACCCUGUGAUUUAAUAAGAUGCAAGCGACGGGCCACAAUAGCUCCCAAGCUAUAAGUGUGGUCACCCUCCAAUGCCCUGCGUAAAACAGCAUAGUCUGGUGCACUAAACGCACCCACUUUCUUUCUAGCAAGCAAGCACUUAGCAACAAAUAAAGCAAAAUAAUGUAUAGCAGGAAAGUGUAAGCUAAUAGCCGUGGUGGCUGAGACUCCUCUCUCAUCUCCCACUAUCAAAGUGCGAUAAAAAGCCUCAAACCCAGCCGGUCUUGGCUCAGCUAAACUCCCAUCAGAAGGGAUCAUGCAUAUGUCACAAAAUUCAGUAAGUGGUAUCUGAUGGUUUUCAGCAUAUAAAUCAAAGCUCACUUCAGGAGGAUUAUUUCUAGGCAAGAAAGUAAAGCUCUAAACAAAGAUGUUUGUGAGGAUUUGGUGCUGGUCACACUCAUCUGUGAUGAAGUCGGUGAGGUUGGCAUUGGCAAUAUAUUGCGUGAACUCCUCAAAAAUUCCAGCCUCUUGCAGGAACGGGGUGUGCGGCCAUUCGCACGGCCGUACCUCCGCCAACCUCCGAGAGUGGAGAUCACCGUCAGAAGACUCCCGAAUGACACCCUUGGAGUUCUUCUUAGAGCCAAACUUCCUGAAGAUAUUCAUGUCUGUGUACAAUUUUAUGAAAAUAAAAAUUUUGGGGUGACAAAAAUUUAUCAACAAAACUUUAUGAAAUUAAUAGCAACUACUCAUAGGGAUGCAUAGAAGCCAUAACAAGCAUUCAAACAACUUAGAACACUAAUAAUUCAACAUGCAAGCACAUCUACAUCACCACCAAGAGUAGCUAAUUAUUCAAAAUAUAAACCUCUAAAGCAAAAACUAAUUGGACAAAUGGUGGAGUCACAUACCAAGCAACAAUCCCCCAAAACAGUUUUGGAAAGGGAGCUUCGAGCAAAGACAUCGAAAUCCGUGGGUUUGAGCUCAAGAACACGGGAGAGAGAGCAAUGGGGAUUUUUUUUCUGGAGGUAAGUGAUGAUGUGGGAUGAAGAGGUAAGUGAGGGUGCCCACGUGGGGACCACAACCCACCAGGGCGCGCCUGGGGUCCUGGCGCACCCAAGUGGGUUGUGCCCACCUGGUGCACCUCCCUCUGAUAUUAUUUGCACCAGGAAUUCAGAAAUAUUCAGAAAAAAUCAUGUAAAAUUUUCAGGACAUUCUGAGAACUUUUAUUUUUGGGUCAUUUUUUAUUGCACGGGAAAUUCAGAAAACAGACAAAACAUGGCAUUUUAUUUUAUUUAGCUAAUAAAAACAGAAAAAAGGAAAGGACAGAAGGUAGUGCUUACUAAAUUCAUCUCAUACCGUUCAAUAAUGAUCCAUUAAUAAGGUUGAUCAAGUCUUAUUAACAACCACUUUCGAUUAGCAUGAAACCGAAGAACUUUCGUAAAGUCACUAAGUUACCUGAAUGGGGAUAUGCAUUUAUCCAACAAUAAGUAUUUCAUAUUUCUUUUUGACAGUAGGUAGAGGUAUUUGAAAACUUCCAAUAGUGAUUGUCGGAGAGUUUUCAAUAACAUUAAUACCAUUCACUUGGAAUUGUUUCUUCGGAAAGUGCACCGUAUGCUCAUUGCCAUUAAUAUGAAAAGUGACCUUGCUUUUAUUGCAAUCAAUAACAGCCCCUGGAGUAUUCAAGAAGGGUCUACCAAGGAUAAUCGACAUAUUGUCGUCCUCGGGCAUCUCAAGUAUAACAAAGUCAGUCAAAGUAGUAACAUUAGCAACAACAACGGGCACAUCCUCACAGAUACCGAUGGGUAUGGCAGUUGAUUUGUCAGCCAUUUGCAAAGAUAUUUCAGUAAGUGUGAGUUUAUUCAAGUCAAGUCUUUUAUAUAAAGAGAAAGGCAUAACACUAACACCAGCUCCUAAAUCACACAAAGCCAUUUUCACAUAAUUCUUUUUGAUAGAGCAAGGUAUAGCUGGUAUUCCAAAAUCUCCAAGUUUUUAGGAACUCCAUCUUUAAAAGUAUAAUUAGCAAGCAUAGUGGAGAUUUCAGCAUUCGGUAUUUUUCUCUUAUUUGUGAUGAUGUCUUUCAUAUACUUUGCAUAAGGAAGCAUUUUCAAGAUAUCAGUCAAGCGAGGACGCAAAAGACUGGCCUCAGCAUUUCAGCAAAGCAUUCAAAUUCUUCUUCAUCUUUCUUUUUAGUUGACUUGGGUGGAAAAGGCAUAGGUUUUUGAACCCACGGUUCUCUUUCUUUACCGUGUUUUCUAGCAACAAAGUCUCUUUUGUCAUAUCUUUUAUUUUUAGGUUGCGGGUUAUCAAGAUCAACAGGUGGUUCUAUCUCAACAUCAUUGUCUGGUUCUUUUUCAUUGGAUUGAGAGUCUUCAUGAACCUCAUCAUUAUCUUUUUCAUUAUCAGUAGGUGAGUGUUCAUUACCAUAUUGAGUUUCAGCAUCAGAUAUAGAAAUUCCAUUAUCAUUAUCAGGCGGUUUUUCUAUUUCAGGUUCACUAGAAGUAUGCAAAGUCCUAUCCUUUUUCUUUUUCUUUCUAGAAGGACUAGGUGGAUUAGUGUUAACUCUUUGUGUGUAAUGACCCGACCUGAAAUCGGUCAAGUCUCUGUGUAGCUGUACCAUCCCAAGAUCAUGCUGGCACACACAGUACAUUGAUGCAAAGAUUCAAAGUUCAAUCACACCUGAAUUUAUUACACGAUUCUCAUAUCGAGUCUUUAUUACAUCAUAAUAAAUUCGGCCGAAGGCCAACUCAUGAGAAAUAAACUAAAUAAAGCUGCGGAAGCGUAGACGAAUAGCGAGUCCAUCCGACUCCAAAGGGCAAUCGCCAAGCGUGGAUCGUAGCCUCACUCUUGGUCGGAAAACUCCUCUGCAACAUAAGACGUUGCAGCCGUGUAGGUCAGCAUUUUGAAUAUGCUGGCAAGUCAUGAAAAGAGAACAACAAUAAAACUACUAAUACUAUAUGCAAUUUGGCCGUGGGGCUCUAAGUUUCAUUGUUUUGCGAAAAAGCCGGUUUUUCCCUACAACAAGGACUUGUUUGCAAUUACUACAACAUUGUUGGUAGUUAUUGAGAUGGUUCCGCCAACCAAUGUCUCAUUCCCAAUUAUUAAAUAACCCCCUCAAUUAAUUUAUUAAGUUCAGUGUUGAGAUAUCCGAAAUACUCCAAUUCCAGAGGCUCAUUUGUCCGUAACCGGGGACACGGCUAAUCGAUUAGGUUGUUACUCUGCAGAGGUUUGUGCACUUUACCCGCAAGAAACGUUCCCUCCUUUUAAGUCUUCGCACUGCCUGGUGUUUGAAGACGGGACGAACGAAACAGGGUCUUCCGAAGAGUUCCUCUGGGCCACUGCCGGUGCCCAUCCAAUCCUACCGUUCUUCUACAUCUCGUAGCACCGUCCGGCCAGAGUCACGCCUAGGGUCAACCAAGCCAGAGCCCAUAAUGGCUUGCGGCUGCACAGGUAAGCUUCCGGUCAAUGGGGUAUCCAUCCGUCUCUUCGUGGCUGGGUGAAGCUUUCCGCAAGAUGUCAUGGCGCUUCUCCAUGCAUCCCGGCCAUCCGCUGGUUUCUCCAGGGUGCCCGUCAACCGUCCUCCACCCAGUAGUGAAUUUUGAAGUCCAUCUUGAGCUUGACGUCAUGGGGUUGUCAUCAUCUUGACUCUCACAUCUCCCUUAUGAAUCACUCAACCAACCCCGUCUACGAGCAUAGCAAAAUAAACUACAUCGUCCCGGGCAUUGGUAACAAGGGAGAAGGGUUCAUCCUACCUCAUGAUACUACUUAAGAACAUAACUUAACAAAAUUCUCCUACUGCAUGCAUGGUGGGGAGGUAUAACUCUAAUGCAAUAAAAUCAUAGGUAUUGUAAAAACAUGAUCAAAUGACUUGCCUGGCUGAUGGUCUUCGAAAGCUAGCGACUCGUAAUAGCAGGCUUCGCACUCCGGAAAUUCUACCGAGUCAAACAAUAGCACAAAUAAGUAUAGCACAAUAUAACAUAACAGCAAGUUGAACUAAAACACCCACGUACUCAAACCAAAACCAAAGAAAAACUCGGAGAAAACAAAUCAAGGUUUUCAUCAUAUCAAGCAACAACUAAGAAAUAGUUUUACACAACUAAAACCUUUCUUAACAGAACCUAAGCAUUGGUUUUUCUAACUAACAGAAGGAAAAACAUCAUACAAACUAGGAGCAAAAAGAAUCACAUCAAAAGCUAUUAUAGAACUCCUAUUAUGCCUAAAACAAUGCUAGCAAAGAAAAUAAGAUAAAAAUUUUAUUCUACUGUAAAUAAAAGUUCAUCCUCUGUAGCUACAGAAACUAAUCUAAAAUAAACUAUAACAUAACAAAAAUAAAAUUAUUUACUAACUAGAACAGUAGGAAAACAGUAGCUAGCUAAAUAAACAAGAAAAACUUGAUUUCGACAUAAAACUAAUUGUUUAUUAAAUCUAAAAUACCAAAACAAGUUCCUACUGCUAGGCAUGGUCAAAACUAAGCAGUAGAAAAAGAAUCACAAAAAUAAUAAUAAUCCUAACUCAAUUUAUGGCAGAAAAACUAAUCUGUUUAAAUCUAAUAUAAAACUAUUUCUAAUAAUUUAAACAUGGCUAAACAUAUUUUCUACAGAAACUACAACAAAUUUGCAAACUCAUAAAAAAAGAAUUAACUAAAAAUAAUAAACCGACUAAAAGAAAUAGCAAAAACAAAAACAGAACUAUUCUGCUAAAAAACAGAAACUGAAAAAAAACAACUAGCGCUGCUGGGCUAUCUAACGCUCAGGCGUAAUAUAACCUAGAGGUGCCCGCGGCUAAACAGAAAACCGACUGGUUCGAUCUAACAAAAAAAAACCAUAAGUAAAACCGAUCUAUUAAAUAAAACCGUACCCCUUCGUUGUUUCUAUUCUAGGCCAUACAUGCGAGAUCCAACGGUGGAGGGGAGCUCGGGCUUACAGCGUCGGCAGCGACGAACGGAGACGACGGCGGCGGCUCGGGCGUUGGCGGUGCGGCGGCUCCGGUAGUCGGGGAGGUCGGCGAAGGUGUCGGAGAGGUGCGGCGAAGCGUGGCGAGGUCGAGGGUGGUCUCGGUGAUGGUCGAAGAUGACGGAGGCGAGUGGGACGAGCUCGGCGGGGCUCCUGGUGCUCUGCAACUCCGGCGGCGGGCGGUGAUGCUCGGGGCGGAGGCUUCGGUCGUUCCUGGGCGACCAAACCUUGUCAAAAAGGUGGGAAACGGCGAGGGGAGUGCUUGGAUGGAAAGAGGGUUCGAGGUGGUGCUCACCGGCGGCGAACGUGGCGGCGAACCGAGGCGGCAGCGGCGAGAUCCAAAGGAGGAGGGCGUGAGCUGUGGUGCGUUUCAGGCUAGGGUUUUUGGGGGGUUCGGGAGAGGAGAGCGAGGGGAACUUAUAGGACAUGGACUUGGACGAGGGGGCGACGCGGGAUCGCGAUCCCGAGAAGAUCGCGGUGUCGGGCGCGCUCUGCGCGUGCUCCGGUGCGGCGUGCCGUGCGCGAGGGGAAAGAGAGAGGUGGGGCCAGCGCGUCAGUGAGAGAGAGAGGGAGAGAGGAUCGGGCGACCGAUCGGGAGAGGGUUCGGGCGUGCGGGCGCGCUGGGGCAGGCCGGUGCGGUCGGCUGGCUGGGCCGGCUGGCUCCUGGGGCUUUCCCUUUUUUUUUGAAAUAGAGGGAAGGAAAAAUAUAAAAAUAUUUUUUUUAUAGGACAUAUAUAUAUAUCAAAAUACUCAGGGGAAUUAAUCCUACAACGUGGACAUUUUUCCAGAGGUAAAACUCAAACUAAAAAAAAACAAUUUCUGGAAAUUCCAAAUAAAAUUCAGAUUCGAAUUCAAACUUUUUGGCAAUACAUUUCUUCUGACAUUUUUGGAGUGUCAUGUUAGCUCCUCUCAUACUUUUGAUCAAGUAUUUGUUAGGGAUAUUUGAAAUAAAUUUCAAUGCCAAAUCAAGUUCAAAUUCACAACACAAACUCAACUGCCUCUGAAAUUUUCAAAUGCCACUCAAUUUCAAUCAAAAUGCAUAGAUGCUUAGCUAAUAAUUGUAAAACAUUCCAAAUUGAAAAUUUGGGAUGUUACAAACCUACCCACCUUAAGAUGAAUCUCGCCCUCGAGAUUCGGGUUGGCUAGCAAAUAGGUGCGCGUGGUCUCGGCGGAGGUCUUCUUGUCGCUCCCAGGUGGCUUCCUCCUCGGAAUGAUGACUCCACAGAACCUUGCAAAACUUGAUGAUCUUGCUGCGGGUGACUCUGUUUGCAGUCUCGAGAAUUCAGACGGGUUUCUCCUUAUAAGUCAGAUCACUGUCGAGCUGUAUGGCCUCUAGGGGCACAGUGUCUCUCAACGAAAUUUCGGCCAUCUCAGCAUGGCAUUUCUUCAGCUGAGAAACAUGGAAGACAUCUUGAACUCCGGACAAUCCUUCCGGCAAUUCCAGCUUGUAAGCGACUUCUCCACGAUGUUCGAGGAUUUUGUAGGGGCCAAUGAACCUGGGUGCCAACUUUCCUUUAACACCGAACCUCUUGAUUCCUCGAAGUGGGGACACACGGAGAUAUGCUCGGUCUCCAACUUCAUACGUUAUCUCCUUCCGUUUACUGUCGGCAUAACUCUUCUGUCUCGACUGGGCUAUCUUGAGUCUAUCUCGAAUCAGCUUGACCUUCUCUUCGGAGUCUCUGAUAAGAUCGGGACCAAAAAGUUUUCGGUCUCCAACACCAUCCCACAGCAAUGGUGUUCUACACCUCCUUCCGUAUAGAGCUUCGAAAGGGGCCAUCUUCAGACUGGUCUGAUAGCUGUUGUUGUACGAGAACUCUGCAUAUGGCAAGUUGUCAUCCCAGCUAGACCCAUAGUCUAGCGCACAGGCUCUCAACAUGUCCUCCAAAAUCUGGUUGACUCUCUCGGUCUGUCCAUCUGUCUGCGGAUGAAAAGCUGUACUGAACUCCAACCUCGUUCCCAAAGUUUCAUGCAACUGAUUCCAAAACUUUGAGGUAAAUUGUGUUCCUCUAUCUGACACGAUACUCCUCGGAACUCCAUGCAGACAUACGAUCCUGGUCAUGUAUAUCUUGGCUAACUUAGCGCUGGUAUAUGUGGUCUUCACGGGAAUGAAAUGAGCUACCUUGGUCAAGCGAUCAACCACUACCCAGAUAGAAUCAUAACCUGAACGGGUCCUCGGUAAUCCUGUGAUAAAAUCCAUUCCAAGUUUUUCCCAUUUCCACUCGGGUAUUGGCAAAGGUUGAAGUAACCCUGCCGGCUUAUGAUGUUCCGCCUUUACUCGCUGACAAACAUCGCAUACUGCUACGUACUCGGCAAUAUCCUUCUUCAUACCUGUCCACCAGAAACUUUCCUUCAAAUCCAGAUACAUCUUGGUGUUGCCUGGGUGAAUCGAGUAUGGUGAAUCAUGGGCCUCCUGAAGAAUUAACUUCCUGACCUCUGGGUCAUUAGGCACAUAGAUGCGAUCCUCAAACCAUAAAGUUCCGUGCUCAUCUUCACGAAAACCUUUCGCUUUUCCGUUACACAUCUUUUCCUUUAUCUCUGCAAUUUCCUUGUCUGUCUUCUGGGCCUCACGGAUUCUUUCGGUCAGAGUGGACUGUAUAUCCAAGGUGGCGACAAAUCCUCUCGGUACUAUCUCCAGUCGGAGCUCUCUGAGAUCGUCGGUUAAUUCCUGAGGUAAUCCUCCAGCUAUGAGGGUGUUCACAUAACUUUUAUGGCUCAAGGCAUCUGCUACAACAUUUGCCUUCCCUGGGUGAUAAUGCAAUCUCAUGUCAUAGUCCUUGAUCAAUUCAAGCCAUCUCCUCUGCCUGAGGUUCAAUUCCUUCUGCGUGAAAAUAUACUUCAGGCUCUUAUGAUCCGUGUAAACAUCACAACUAUUUCCGACGAGGAAAUGUCUCCAGGUCUUGAGUGCGUGCACUACGGCUGCUAACUCCAAAUCGUGUGUGGCAUAAUUCAUCUCGUGAGGUCGUAGCUGUCUGGAGGUAUAAGCUACAACUUUUCCUUCCUGCAUGAGCACUCCUCCGAGUCCUUGACGAGAAGCGUCACAAUAAACCUGGUAAUCCUUGUGUAUGUCCGGCAAAAUUAGCACUGGGGCUGUAACCAGACGUUUCUUCAGCUCCUGAAAACUGGCUUCACAAUCCUCGGUCCAAAUGUACUUGGCUUCCUUCUUCAACAGCUCAGUCAUAGGCUUGGCAAUCUUGGAGAAAUUCUCAAUAAACCUCCGAUAAUAUCCUGCGAGUCCGAGAAAACUGCGGAUCUCCUUGACUGAGGUGGGGGACUGCCAGUUGGUGACCGAUUCGACCUUGGUGGGGUCGACUGCUAUUCCUUCUCCUGAAAUAACAUGUCCGAGGAAUCCGACUUCCUUUAGCCAAAAUUCACAUUUGCUGAACUUGGCAUAUAACUGAUGUUCCCGAAGUUUCUCCAGAACUAGACGCAGAUGUUCCUUAUGCUCUUCCUCGCUCUUGGAGAAAACCAAUAUGUCAUCAAUGAACACCACGACAAACUUGUCCAGACAUUCCAUAAAUACCUUGUUCAUCAUGCUCAUGAAAUACGCAGGGGCAUUAGUUAAUCCGAAUGACAUGACGGUAUACUCAUAUAAACCAUACCUGGUGGUGAAAGCUGUUUUGGUUAUAUCCUGUUCACGAAUCUUCAACUGAUGAUACCCUGAUCGAAGAUCGAUCUUGGAGAAUACCUUGGCUCCAACUAGUUGAUCAAAUAAAUCAUUAAUCAUCGGUAGAGGGUACUUGUUCUUGAUGGUCACAUCAUUCAAUGAACGAUAAUCCACAACCAUUCUCAGGGUUCCAUCCUUCUUUUCUACCAAAAGAACUAGGGCUCCCCAAGGUGACGAGCUUGGGCGAAUAUAUCCUUUCUCCAAUAGCUCCUUAAUUUGCUUCUUGAUCUCUUCCAAAUCAUUCGGGGGCAUCCGAUAGGGUCUCUUGGAUAUUGGGGCUGUGCCGGGCAAUAACUCAAUCAAAAACUCAAUGUCUCUGUCAGGUGGCAUUCCUGGUAACUCCUUUGGAAACACAUCGGGAAAAUCUUGCACUACGGGCACUUCCUCCUGAACAACACCCGUGAGGGAAUUCACCCGAUUCUUCAUCGGUGUGCGUCUGGAUACAUACUUGAUCCUUUUCUGCUCCGGGGUGGUGAGCAAAAUCGUCUUGCAAGCACAGUCGAUGUUUCCUUCAAACUUGGUCAACCAAUCCAUGCCUAGAAUUACAUCCAAACUCUGGGAUUCCAAUACUAUGAGGUCUGCGGGAAAAUCAUGGUUUCCGAUGCUGAGGGUCGAAUGACAGCCUAAGCCUGCCGUCAUCUCUCCUCCUGGGGAAGUGACCUGAAGCGGGGUUCUAAGGGUUCUAGUGGGCAACUCGUACUUUUCCACAACUACCCUUGAUAUGAAUGAAUGCGUUGCACCGGAAUCAAAGAGUACCAAUACUGGAUGUGAAUUUAAUAAAAACUUACCAACCACAGUGUCUGGCUGAUCAUAGACGUCCUCCACGUCAAGGUGAUUCACCUGAGCACGAGGAAAAGGGUUGGGCUUCUUUGCUGAGCUUCCAUUGCCGUUGCCGUUUCCAUUCCUCUGCUUGGCCUCCGGACAAUCGGUGGCAUAGUGUCCUGUCUUCUGGCACUUGAAACAGGUGAUAUGACUCAGAUCCUUCUGAGCCGGAGCAGGACGGUGCUGGUUGCCAUUGCCUCCAUUGCCUGACUUGGAGUUGUUGUCGUGGUUGCGAUUGUUCCCAUUCCCUCCAUGGUUAUGUCCUCCAUGAUUAUGUCCUCCAUGGGUGUGAUGGGUAUGUCCUCCUGAGUAUGGGGUAUAGCGGGGCUUCUGCUGAGCUCCGGAGUUGUACUUUCCCUGGCCAUAUUUCCGCUUGCGGCUAUCAAUCUGCUGCUGCUUGCCUUCAAGUAUGGUGGCCUUGUCUACCAGCUCCUGGUAGUUGUUGAAGGUAGCCACCAUUAGCUGCAUUCCUAGCUCAUCAUUGAGUCCCUCGAGAAACUUCUCUUGCUUUGCGGCAUCUGUGGCCACAUCAUCUGGGGCAUAGCGAGAUAAUUUGCUGAACUCAUCCACGUACUGCCCCACAGUACGGUUCCCCUGGCGUAAGUUGCGGAACUCACGCUUCUUCAGACUCAUGGCUCCAGCUGAGACAUGAGCGGUGCGGAAGGCCUGCUGGAACUCAGCCCAUGUCACGGUGGCGGCCAGAUAAGUGGCGGUGUAGUUCUCCCACCAAGAAGCUGCAGGUCCAUCAAGCUGAUGUGCGGCAAAGCGCACCUUCUCUGCAUCUGUGCAUCCAGCAGUGGCUAACUCCCUUCCGACCUUGCGGAGACAAUCAUCGGCCACAAUCGGCUCAGUGCUGCUAGAGAACACUGGCGGAUUCAGCCUUAGGAAGCGUGUCAAGUUGUCAACAGGGGGUGGUGGCGGUGGAUUGUUGUUGUUGUUGUUAUUCUGGUUCUGGAUGAGCAUCUGCAUCAGGGCAUUUUGCUGCUGGAUCAGCUGGGUGAGCUCCGGCGGAAAGUUGAAACCGGGGUCACGUCUCGGAGGCAUCUGGUGGUUUAGAGUGGAUGAGAAAUUAGAAUAGAACAAGGGUCUAAUGAGAAAAUAGCACUACCCAUAUGAAUGCACAAUCAUAAUCACACCAAUCAUUUAUUCAUUCAUCUCAAACAAGGUUCAAUCUGGGAUUACAAAAGAAAUCUCACGACUAAUCGAAAAUAACGGCCUAACUGAUCGACGAAAAAAUAAAAUAAAAAAUAAAGUAACAUGGUGGUCGACUAAAUGUCUUCAUCAAUUAUUCUUGCGUCCUCCGGUGCGGCGUCCUCUGGUGCGGCGUCUCCUCUUGCGGCUUCCUUCGGUGGAGCUCUCUUCAUAAUCCUGGUCAUUGCUUACGAGAGGUCCAUCAUCUCCACUCGGAAAAAGGUCUUCUCCCAGGUCUAUCUUCUCCUCCAGUGUGGCAAUAUAUUUAUCCCGGACCUCGAUUCUCUCCAAAAAAUCCUUGACUUCUUCUUCAUGUUCAAGGAAGUCCGCGCGUGCUUUCUCCUCCAGUUCCAGUUCACGGAACAACAACCUCCUGUGUACCUUCGAGUUUCGGCGCGUCUGGAUUUCCCGGUUCCUGAUGAGACUCUCCAAGUCUUGGACAUAUGAAAGAAUGGAGUCGUCCUCUACGGUACGGAUGAUAUCUCCAUUCCUAGCUCUGCGAGAAAUCAUGGCGAGGUCUGAUGGGUCGAGCUCGGCCCUGUACUCUUCUCGGAGAUGUCCAAGUGCACGAUAAAUCGCCAUGUCUCUUCCGAGGAUCCAAGUGAAAUCGGUAAACUCAAAGUCAAUGGGCUCUGAAUGUCCUCCGAAGGUCCUCCCUGGAAUGUGCACCAUAAUCCUGUAGCGGGUAUCCGUCGGAAGUGCAUUGAUAGGCUUCCCGGUGAUUGAGGGCAGCGCAAUCUUCAACUUUUUCACGAUCUGAACCAGCUUCUUGCCGAGAAGCAUCGUCUCAUCUGGCUGGCAAAACUCCGGUAGUAGAACUGGGGUGAACUCUGCGGCCAUCUAGAAUGUUGAAAAUCGGAGAGAAGUCAGAAAUGAACAGGGAAGAAUUACGGGAUGAUAAGGACAUAAAAUAAAAUAGUCUCUUCGUAUGGCUUUCCGAUCCUAGGGGUUACGUCCUACGGUCAGCGUGUGCUCUGAAUACCAUCUCUGUAACGACCCGACCUGAAAUCGGUCAAGUCUCUGUGUAGCUGUACCAUCCCAAGAUCAUGCUGGCACACACAGUACAUUGAUGCAAAGAUUCGAAGUUCAAUCACACCUGAAUUUAUUACACGAUUCUCAUAUCGAGUCUUUAUUACGUCAUAAUAAAUUCGGCCGAAGGCCAACUCAUGAGAAAUAAACUAAAUAAAGCUGCGGAAGCGUAGACAAAUAGCGAGUCCAUCCGACUCCAAAGGGCAAUCGCCAAGCGUGGAUCGUAGCCUCACUCCUGGUCGGAAAACUCCUCUGCAACAUAAGAUGUUGCAGCCGUGUAGGUCAGCAUUUUGAAUAUGCUGGCAAGUCAUGAAAAGAGAACAACAAUAAAACUACUAAUACUAUAUGCAAUUUGGCUGUGGGGCUCUAAGUUUCAUUGUUUUGCGAAAAAGCCGGUUUUUCCCUACAACAAGGACUUGUUUGCAAUUACUACAACAUUGUUGGUAGUUAUUGAGAUGGUUCCGCCAACCAAUGUCUCAUUCCCAAUUAUUAAAUAACCCCCUCAAUUAAUUUAUUAAGUUCAGUGUUGAGAUAUCCGAAAUACUCCAAUUCCAGAGGCUCAUUUGUCCGUAACCGGGGACACGGCUAAUCGAUUAGGUUGUUACUCUGCAGAGGUUUGUGCACUUUACCCGCAAGAAACGUUCCCUCCUUUUAAGUCUUCGCACUGCCUGGUGUUUGAAGACGGGACGAACGAAACAGGGUCUUCCGAAGAGUUCCUCUGGGCCACUGCCGGUGCCCAUCCAAUCCUACCGUUCUUCUACAUCUCGUAGCACCGUCCGGCCAGAGUCACGCCUAGGGUCAACCAAGCCAGAGCCCAUAAUGGCUUGCGGCUGCACAGGUAAGCUUCCGGUCAAUGGGGUAUCCAUCCGUCUCUUCGUGGCUGGGUGAAGCUUUCCGCAAGAUGUCAUGGCGCUUCUCCAUGCAUCCCGGCCAUCCGCUGGUUUCUCCAGGGUGCCCGUCAACCGUCCUCCACCCAGUAGUGAAUUUUGAAGUCCAUCUUGAGCUUGACGUCAUGGGGUUGUCAUCAUCUUGACUCUCACAUCUCCCUAAUGAAUCACUCAACCAACCCCGUCUACGAGCAUAGCAAAAUAAACUACAUCGUCCCGGGCAUUGGUAACAAGGGAGAAGGGUUCAUCCUACCUCAUGAUACUACUUAAGGACAUAACUUAACAAAAUUCUCCUACUGCAUGCAUGGUGGGGAGGUAUAAGUCUAAUGCAAUAAAAUCAUAGGUAUUGUAAAAACAUGAUCAAAUGACUUGCCUGGCUGACGGUCUUCGAAAGCUAGCGACUCGUAAUAGCAGGCUUCGCACUCCGGAAAUUCUACCGAGUCAAACAAUAGCACAAAUAAGUAUAGCACAAUAUAACAUAACAGCAAGUUGAACUAAAACACCCACGUACUCAAACCAAAACCAAAGAAAAACUCGGAGAAAACAAAUCAAGGUUUUCAUCAUAUCAAGCAACAACUAAGAAAUAGUUUUACACAACUAAAACUUUUCUUAACAGAACCUAAGCAUUGGUUUUGCUAACUAACAGAAGGAAAAACAUCAUACAAACUAGGAGCAAAAAGAAUCACAUCAAAAGCUAUUAUAGAACUCCUAUUAUGCCUAAAACAAUGCUGGCAAAGAAAAUAAGAUCAAAAUUUUAUUCUACUGUAAAUAAAAGUUCAUCCUCUGUAGCUACAGAAACUAAUCUAAAAUAAACUAUAACAUAACAAAAAUAAAAUUAUUUACUAACUAGAACAGUAGGAAAACAGUAGCUAGCUAAAUAAACAAGAAAAACUUGAUUUCGACAUAAAACUAAUUGUUUAUUAAAUCUAAAAUACCAAAACAAGUUCCUACUGCUAGGCAUGGUCAAAACUAAGAAGUAGAAAAAGAAUCACAAAAAAAAAAA
rnacentral:lncRNA from 1 species